rnacentral:lncRNA from 1 species
UUUUUCAUACCUAUGCCGAAUUCCUAUGGUUUGGCUCUUGGUUGUCCAAAACAUUUGACAUCGGGCCAACCAAACGAUUUUGCACAUAUUUUAAACUUUUUUUAUGAACGAGAACAACAUCUCAUCAUCAAGUGGGCACCUUUUGGAGAAUGCUUACCAGCCCACCAUGGUUUCUCACUCGCUAUGAAUCCAUUAAGGAUCAAUUGUCUUUUUCUUGCGCGAGCGAAUACCCGAUAUUUGGUACUCUCUGCUGGCCCCUGGAGACUUGCAUAUUGGCUUGAAAAUCCGCUCUAAAUUGACGCUUAGCACUGAAGUGUAUUCUCCUCAAUACGUGGCGCGUCAAUUUAGGUUUGUCCAAGCGAUUCCAGCCCUGGCUAAAUUUAUCAUGGCUAACACUGCCAGUAGCUGUCCUCUUACAAAAAGUGCAACCGAAGCCGAUCGGCUCUCGGCCAUGGAAAAUCGUCUGCGAUGUUUCUACAAGCUCGUGAGUUUUCGGCUGAACCACUCAGAGGUGGUGGAUUUUUGCUCCACCAGAGCUUGGGAUGCUUUUUGCUAAAAAAUCUUUUUCAAGUCCAUACUCCAUGCCACCUAUAAAAUUUAUCACAUAGAAGGUAUAUUAGCUUACAUUCGAUUUGAUUCUAUUUUCCUUCUUUUCUUUUAAUUUGUUUUUAUAGUUUUCUAGUAACGUCUAUAAGUAAAGAAAUCUUGCCUGAUUCUCUGAGACAAGAGGAUUUUGGGGGAAAAUUCUGAUCAGGAUUAAAAAGAUUCACCUCACCUCUCCAUGAUAAAUCUUGUUUCUUAAUGUAUUUUUCUUUUCAAAUAUGUACUCGGCAAAACUUGGCUAAUGCAUUCUUUUUUAGCCAACACCUAUUCCUGCUCCAUCGGCCCAACGUACAGAGAAGCGGCCGAUACAAACCGACUCUCCAAUUCAAUCGCCGCAGUAAAAACGACGUAAAACUUUUGCAAUUAAAAUUCGUUCUCAACCUUCCUUUGCUCCAACCGAGAAUUUACCUCCAGCAGAGGUUCCUUUGGCUGUAACUUCAGCUAAGGAACUGGCUUCUGUUCAGCCAGCUGAUCAAAUAUCGAUCGAGGUAAAUCCUCAGUCUAUCUUAAUCAAUUCUUCUUCUUCUCAUUCCUCAACCAGAUCACCUACAUUAUAUGCAAUUUCUGAUGUCGAAAGGCAAGCUCGUCGGGCAACUCGUCUCGACAAGAAGCAAAAAGAAGAGAGAAAAUGAGCGAAAAAGCAGAAGAAAGUUGCAGAAAAGCAGAAAAGAGGAAAAGAAGAAAAUCAAAAGAAGAAAGAGAAGGAGAAAAAGAAAAAUAGAGAAAUUCAGAGAAGGCAAGAAGAAGAAGAAGAGUGGAUUGCAAGAGAAAAAGAACAAAGGAGAAAGGAAGAAGAAUGUAAAAGGAAAGAAGAAGAAAGAAAGGAAGAGGAAGACAGGAAGAAAAAGAGAGGAGAUUAAAGUAAUAGAAGAAAUGGGUGUAGACUUUCUUGUCGAACCCUCAGCCGAAGCUUUUACUUCAGCUCCUAUGCAAGCACCCGGAUCGAUAGAUGUGUUGGCCAUUUCUCUUCAAGACUUGGCCGCUUCAAGCCCAAAAUCUUAUGAGGAGGAAGAUUUUCCCACCACUAUUUCGGCUGAAAUUCAGUAGAAAUUGCAUGAAUGCUUGAGACUGUAUAGUAGUGGUCUUCCUACUCUAUCCCGAAACUUGGAGCAAAUUGAUCGACUCGGAGCGCUCCUCCUUGAUCUCUUAGACCAGCUUGAUCUUCCUUCUUCAGGUAUAUAUUUUGCAGAAACUUUAUCUGUUGGCCUCACUUCUUUCCUAACUUGGUAACAAGCACUUUCUGCCGAGUAUCUUGCUCUGGAUCGUCAUUUUUCGUGGGUCGGCUUCUUCAAGAUGAAAGCUCCUCAAGUAGCAGCUCCAAUAACUGACCUAACCAAGCAAGAUGACAAUCUAAAGGAUCAAGAGUCAGCUCUUCGGCAGCGCAUUACUAAUCUUAAAGAAGAACGUGCUGCAGCCGAAAAGCCUUGGCUCACACGUCUGAACAUUGUGCCACUAUGCAAGCUCAGCUUCAGACCUGUAAAAAUGAAGGGAUGGCAGUACACGAUCAACUUUCCCAGCUCUACAAACUCUAUCCCAUGAUGAAACGAAGAAAACGAGUAGCCGAUCUUGCUCAAUCUAAUUUAGAAACCAAAUGGAAUCAGCUUAAAGACUUACUGUCUUAAUUUAUUUCUCUUCGGUUUUCCAUUCUUUCAUCGGCUGUAAUAUAUUUUGAUAUUUUCUUGUAUUUGUUUUGAUUUGAUUCUUAUUCAUUUUUCCACAUGGAUGGAUAAUAUUUUCUUAAAUAUUUUUCAUUGAUUGGCUUGUCAUUUUCUGAUCUGCCUAAUGUGUUUAGGAAAUAUGUAUUACCUCUUACAACUUUAUAUAUUUCGAAUGGUCCCUCCCAAUUUGGAUACCAUUUUUCAUACACUCGGUUCUUUCGACCAAUUGGCAAUAUUAGUCUUUAGAUCAAAUCUCCAACAGAAAAACAUUUAGCCUUAACUCCUUUAUUAUAUGCAUUGCUUAUUCGGCUCUAAUAAGCUUGCAAUUAUCAAGCACUAACAGCUGAAUUUCAUCUAUUUCUUCCAACUUCUCACUUAUUAAAGUCUCAUAUUCUUUUUCCAUCAAAUCUUUUUUUUCCUUCGACUCUUAAAGGAGGAACCAUAAUUUCGGCAGGUACUAUAGUUUCGUGACCAUCGACCAGCCGAAAUAGCGUAACCCCUGUCGCUGUUUUAACAGUGGAUCGGCAGGCCCAUAAUACUUCUAAGAGCUUUUCUCUCUACUUUCUUAGAUGUUUCACAAUAUGCCGUUUCAUAAUGUUUAUAAUAACUUUAUUUACCGUCUCAGCCUGUCCAUUGGCCUGAGUAUAAUAAGGCGACGAAUGAAGCAACUUAAUAUUUCUCAAGAGAACUAUUCUCCUGUGAACAUCAUUCCUUGGUCUGUUGUAAUCGUCUCAGGAAUCCCAAAUCAAUGAAUGACAGAGUCUUCCACAAACUCUACGAUGUAUUUUUGAGUGAUCAAUUGUCACGCCUAGCAACCGCCAAUUUGGUCGAUUUGGGCACAUACACAGACGCCGAACGAGUAGAGCCACCCCUGUCUGCCCAAGGCUCCACAACCGCCAACAUGUAUAAGGAAAUGCCCAGUAAAAAUUCCAAUAUGCAUAGCUUGCACGAGGGAAAGCAACACAAGCAAGUGAAAGUAACUAGCUAUUACAUCCAUACAUUGUAUCUUGAUUAGUUUAAACAAAAUACAAAGUUUACCAAUUCUAUUUACAUUCGUUUUUCCAAAAUACAUUACACAUUCUUUACAUAUUCCUUUUCAUCAAAUACAAAAGAUGAAAUAUACAAGGUAUAGCUAUACUCGAGGAAGUCCACUAUCUAGUGCGCAAUAUUCAUGUCGCGAUUCUCGACCGCCCGGCUCGCGCUAAGACCUGCAUGGUAAGUGGGGUGAGAAUUACUGAAAGUUUCCAGUGGAUUCAGCUGCCAACCUCGCCGAUUCACCCACUAGGUCUACUCAGGCAUAUAUAGGAAAAGGAAAUAGAUAGCAAACCAGACAAAUGCUACUACAAUGCCUGUACAAAACUGAAGCGAUAAUAAGAUGCUCAUGAUGCAUGCAUGCUUUUUUACCUUUACCUUUACCCAAUUCUUUUGGUUAACCCUUUGGUUAAACCCAACUCACCAAACCAAAUUCCUUUUGUCGGGGAGAAUACCGCUACAACCCGACGGGACCGUCUGUUGGGGAGAAUUCCGCUACCGCCCAGUUGAUGAUACUCCGGAGCUGACCACUUGAGGUGGAGCGACCACCCUCAAGCAUUCAGACUACCUGUGAGUACAAUCCAAUGCUCACUUGGAGGAUACUAUGCCACAACCUUUACAAAGUUCUCUUUGUUUAGCAUUUCCAAUUCUAGGUGCUAACCAAUUCGUUUAGUUAUAAUGCCACCUUGUUUACUAUUGUCAUGGUCCAACACAAGUGCUAACCGAUCCAUCUAGUCACAAUGUCACUUUGUUUACUAUUGAUGUAGUCCAACUCAAGAUCAUACAUUCAUAGGGUUUCUAGUUCCAUAAUAUCAUUUCACAUGUACCUUUAUAUGGAUAACAUACAAGAUGUUUUCCCAACUUAGCCAUAUAUCAACAUUACCCUACAAUGCAUGAUUUUCACACUAUACAUAUACAUAUAUGCUCAGGAAAGUGACAAAGACAUAAUAGGUUAUUCGAAGAUUUGGGAGAGCACCACCCACCUCGUAGGGAUGCCGAGAUGCAAGAAACCAAGUCUCGCGAUUUUUGGACGUCUAUCUCUCUUGAUCCAUGGCUAACGAAGGAAAAACGAAGCUUUUUCUCCAUAUCUUGCUGUAGACUCAUCGGAAUGUCGAUCCGAGUCUCCCAAUGCGUCGAAUUUACCGUCAAUUGGGAUUACAUGAGAUCAAUUCCAUGCUAGAUCUCCAAUCCUACAAAAUCCCAUUUCCAUGUCUAGGUUUCACAUAACCUCAACAUACUCAAAUUUCUUAAUUAGGAAUUCAUGGAGUAAUCCAAACCUCCAAAACCCAAGAACCUCAAAAACCAACAAUUUAGAGUAUUUUGAUCAAAUCCUAGCAAAUAGGAUCAAGAGAACUUACCUUGACUCCCAUGCUACCCAAGCUCUUCUUGUUCUAGAGCUUCUACAAUACCAAAGUCACCAAUGUCCCCUUCAAUCCAACCUCAAUCUCCUCUAAAACCCUUUUAACUGUUGGAGAAAUCCUAGAGAGAAGGAGAAGGAAACGAUAGGGAGGAGGAAACAAUGCUUCUCCUUGCAUGGGGAGUGUAUAGGUGUUAGGGUUGGGGUAUAUAUAGACCCCCAACAUUAGCACUUAGGCCCCUUACAAUUUACCCCAUCAACCAUUACAAUUCAGUCCCUAACAGACUGGGUACCAGUACUCGGGCUAGAGUAUCGGUACACGGGGCUCCCAGUACCGGUACCAGUCACCCAGUACCGGUAGCAACCCCCCAACCCUAGGCUACGCACUUCUAGUCCGAGGCAGAGUACCGGUACCCAGCACCGGUACUGGUACCCGACCAAUCCAGUACCGGUACCAGCCUCAGGUACCGGUACACCGCUUACCAAGAUCCUAAUCCCGAGAGCUGACCAACUGCACUAUUGCUGGGUACCGGUACAGCAUUGGCCUAGUACCGGUACUGAAUGUCCCAUGGGCAGUCCAGCAAUUACAGUGUUUCGGAUUUCGUUUGUGCGCCGGUUUGCACCGAAAACACCCAAACACACCCGAAACUCACUUUUAGCCAUCCCAAUGCCUUGAAGGCCACUCAGGGACUUCACUUACCACUCUCAUACCUCACUUUGAUCAAUUCGAUCAAAGUUAGUAUUCCGAUUCUUGGAUUCAGUAUAUUACACCAAUCUUAUAGGUUUCACCUCUACCCACUUAGUAAAAUAGUCUACUGCCACUAUCAAGAAUUUGUGUCCAGACGGCGAGUUCGGCUGAAUUUCUUCAAUUGAAUCCAUGGCCCAUCCUCGAAAAGGCCAAGGUUUGAUAAUUGCAAGCAUUUCGGAAGCCGGGACCCCUUGUACCGAGCUAUGAAAUUGACACUCUUGACAUCCUCUUGCGUAUGUUAUGCAAUCUUUGUAUAUAGUUGGUCAAUAAUAUCCUAAGUGUUGAAUGGUCCAACUUAAUCUUUUUCCGGCCAAAUGUGCCCUACAAAAGCCUUCAGGGCCACGCCCGUAACUAUUAAAGCUUCCUCAGAUCCUAAGAAUUUUAACAACACUUCUUCGGUUGUUCUUUUAUAAAGUUGUCCAUUUAAUAGGCAAUAGUCAAGUGCCCUCUUCCGUAGAUUAUAACUGACCCGUUGAUUUGGAUCAUUAAGAAAUUUCACUAAAGGUUCUCUACAGUCUUCUUGUACUUCUACUGGAGCGAUCAUUGGCUCUCGUGUAAAAACCGAUAGUAACAACCUCCUUUCUAUCUUGACUUGGUUCUCUUUCGGCUCUCUAUACCCUAAAGCCGAUUGAGCUAAGUCAUUAGAUUUUUCCCUUUCUUCCCUUGAUAGAUGCACAAACUCUACUUCUCUGAAUUGGCUAAGUAGUUCUAUUGUUCGAUUCAAAUAACUUUACAAAUUUUGACUCUCACAUCGGUAUUCUCCAAUUACCUGUUUUAUUACUAACUGUGAAUCACCGAUGACUUUUACAGAGCGUACUCCUAAUUCUUACAUAAUCUCAAGGCCAAUUAUUAAAGCCUCAUAUUCGGCUUGAUUAUUAGAGUAGCCAAAAUCAAGCUCGAAAGCAAAUUGAAAAGUGUUGCCUUCGGGAGAUUGUAUAACUAUCCCGGCUCCCGCUGAUUCAGCUAUUUUAGACUUGUCAAAAUAAAGCGUCCAAAAUUGGCAACCGACCGGAUUUUGCAUCAACUCAUCAAUUUCAAUGCAUAGAUGGUUGGCUAAAAAGUGGGCUAUUGCUUGUCCUUUAACCGUCUUUGUCGAAAUAUAAUUAAGAGAGAAUUCGAACAAAGCUAACAUCCAUUAUCUAAUUCUUUCUCUUAAUACUGGUUUAAAUAACAUGUACUUCACCAGAUCAGUCUUACAAAUAAUUGACAUUUCUACUGGUAAAAUAUAAUAUUUCAGAUUAGUACAUGCGUAAUAUAAUGCUAACCAUAGAUUCUCUAUUAUCGAAUAGCGUCGUUUGGCAUCUAACAGGUGUCGGCUGAGAUAAUAAAUAGCAUGUUCUUCCUUUUCACUAUAUUCCUAGGCCAACAAACACCCCAGAUUUUCUUCUGCAGCUGAUAUAUAUAACUUCAUCGGCUGGCCCUGUCGAGGAGGAAUAAGAACUAGAGGAUUUGUUAAAUAUCUUUUAAUGUUUUCAAAUGCCUCUUGUUGCUCCUCUAUCCAAAUAAACUCCUUUUGAUUUUUGAGCCGAAGUGACGGAGUGAAUACUCCUAUUCUACUGGCUAAAUUAGAUAUGAAGCAUCGUAAGUAGUUUAUCUUUCCCAAUAAACUCUGCAAUUUCUUUUUAUUUUUAGGCGGUGGCAAUUCCAUAAUCGCUUUUGCCCUGUUUUUAUUUAUCUCGAUCCCUUUUCCAUGUACAAGAAACCUGAGGAAAUUCUCCGCUGAUACCUCAAAAGCACACUUCAAGGAAUUUAUUUUUCAAUUGUAUUUCCUCAUGCAUUCAAAAGUAAGUUCUAAAUCAGCCCAAUGAUUGAUUUGUGAUUUGGAUUUUACAACGAUAUCAUCGAUAUAUACUUCCAAUAUUUUACCAAUCAAAUAAUGAAAGAUAAAAUUCAUCGCCCUUUGAUAAGUGGCUUCGGCAUUAUUUAAACCGAAGGGCAUCACUAUCAAUUCAAAGAUCCCAAUAGACCCCGUGCAUCAAAAAAAGGGCGUGGAAACACAUAGGAACUCUUGAAUGGAAAUUGAAAAGAAAUGUAGCUCCAGUUCCUUCGGAAAUGGUAAGAUCUUUGGCGCAAGAAGAAGGGGUGAUCCAUAUCAUCUUGACUUGGUUCUGCUUCCCCUUUUCGCUAUAUCUUCUUCGGCAAUAAAGAUCUGAUUAUAGCUAGCUUGACCAUCCAUAAAAGAUAAAAUUUUAUGUCUAGCUGCCGAAUCCACUAGCAUGUUAGCUAUAGGGGCAUCGAGUAUUCAUCUUUGGGUGUAGCCAAAUUCAAAUUUUUAAAAUUAAUGCAAACUCUAAGUUUGCUAUUCUUUUUUCGUACUGGUACUAUAUAAGAUACCCAAUCAAUAUAAUGAGCUCCUCUAAUAAAUCUAGCUAUUAAAAUUUUUUUAAUUUCAUUCUUAAUUUGUAGUACAAUAUUUGGCUUAGACCUACGAGCCGAUUGUUUAUAAGGCUUAUACCAUUUUUUAAUAGGGAGCCUAUGUUCUACAAUUUCUCGGCUCAAUCUUGGCAUCUCUUCAUAACUCUAGGAAAAACAAUCCUUGUAUUUUAUUAGCAACCUUGUUAGCUCCUCCUGUUGUUGAGCCGAAAGCCUUGUGCUAAUAUACGUUGGCUAUUUGCCUUCGUCUGAUCCUAAGUUCACUUUCUUUAAUGGAUCUUGAGUCUCCAGGUUUUUUUCUCACCGACAUUGAUCGGUGACUCUUCCAUGGACUCGAUCUUGAUAUUUUCAAAAAUUUUAGAGCAAUUUUGAUCAUGAGACAUUAUCACAGCCUCUGUUCCCUGAGCCGCAUUAUUUUUGUUUAAAUUGGCUCUCAAACUUGGUAUUUCAACAUAUAAUUUUUCAUUGGCCGUCUUGGCUAAUUUAUUGCCUGAUCCUUCGUCGGCCAACUCGAUUGAUUUAAUACAUAACUCCUCAUUGGCCAGCUUGGCCGAUUUAAUAGAAUAGCCGACUCCUUCAGUCGGCCUGUUAAGUCGAAGCUCAUCUUAGCUUUUGACAUUCCAUUUCAACAAGUCUGGUGGCUCUUAUGUAGCCACCAAUGCCUCUGCAUCCUUCAGGAGCACCAAUUGCACUCCCUCUUCAGUAACCUGAACGAAAAAAAUUUGAUCCGAGUUUCUGUCGGCCCAGUUUUUAUGUCACGCCCCGAGCCCGCCUCUUUGGUCGGAUUCGGGCACGCCAACAGACCGCUGAACGGACAGGGUUUUCUCUGUACCGCGGACAGAGUCUCCCCUGUACGUCCAAGGCAUCACAAUCCAUACAAAGCGCGAGGUUCCAAUCAGGAACAACAUACAACCAUAGAUUGCAUAAGGAAGGUAUCGAAAACAUAAAUGCAAUUAUGCUAUUACAAGCAUACAUCUCACAUACAUUUUUAUUUACAUAUUACAUUACAUUUUUAACUCAUUUUAACUUCCAAAUACAAUCCAACUUUAACUUAAUUAUUACAAAUUGGUUCUUUUCUUUCUUACAUCCCUAAGUAGCCGACUCAGGGUACCGCUAUCUCUGGUCUCGGUGGUAGGGCGCUAACUAUGGAGCUACGCCCUCGCCUCACGCCGCCGCGCCGCUCACGUGUGAACCUUACCCCCAAAAACAACACGAGGGUGAGAACUAUUGUCCAUAGUUCCCAGUGGGUACGGCCACCCAAGGGAAAAGCUCGACCCACCAGGUCCAAAGGAGGCACUGUAAACAUGUUAGUCCAACAGAUAUCCACAAAUAUUUAAUGCAAAUAUUAAAUACAUAUUUAUGCCUCAAGACAUGCAAUAUGUAAUAUAUGCAACAAUGCAAGUAGAUCAUCUGAUUCUACUCUCUAUCCCGCUAUUCUUUAUAUUAUUAGCAAUUCUUUAUCCUUUAUUCUUAGCCAUAAAUUACUCAUUUGUCAUUCUUUCCUAAGGUUACAUUUACCUUAGCCAACUAUGCCACUCAACUCGGUCUCAAGUUAAUCCUCUGCGGGAUACCGCACACAACCAGGCUUGAGGUAAUGGACGUCUCACAUAUACCUCAGCCCUAAAUCCACUCAGCUGGGAUACCAAAUCUAUAGCUCGUGAUGCCUGCUUAAUGUACAUUCAUUUGGCUUUUACCCAAUUGUACCGGUUAACCUUGUUAAACCCAAUAGCUCACAACCCAAAAUCCCUUAAUAACGGGGGACUCGAACCACCCUAGGGACCGUCCUCUGGGGGGACUUUACCUCGCCCAGUGGUGACCAACUCCGGAGCGCACCGCUCAAGGGGGAGCUACCACCCUCAAGCCAAGACUUAUCGUGAGUAUCGAUCCAAUUCCCAAUUUGGGAAUGUAAAGCCACUAUCCACAAUGCCACAAUGUCAUAACAAGUUUCUACCUUGUCAUAUAUGCCACUUUCUAGGCUAAAUGCCACAAUAUCUCUAAGUUCACAUUGUUAUGUCAAAUGCCAUAAGUGUUUCCAAUACACUAAUCAUAUGCCACUCGAUCUAUUUGACAUCCUAAUUGUCCACAUCGAGUAUCAUAGUUCAUAUGUCCUUAUUUUCCAAUGUCGAGUUCUCUAAUUUACCUAGAGUUUAUCGACCCAAGUUCAACAUGCAAUUGUCAAUUAACAUAAUCCUCUAUAUGUCAACAUGCAUAGUUCAUCUAUCAUAUGCAAUAUGUCAUUAUGUAUAUAUUUCCAUUUAACAUAAUCCACAAUAUGUUAAUUCACAAUAUAUCACCAUGCACAUAUACCAACUAGCAUCUCAUGAUAUGUGAACACACAUAUAUACAUCAUCUAGCAUAAUCCAAACUAUGCCAACAUGCCUUCCUAUAGUAUCACUUUCAUGUAUUCAUAUAACCUCUAUGACAUGCAUUCAUAUAACAUUUCAUGUAUUCUUAUAGUAUCAUUUUCAUGCAUUCAUAUAACCUCUAUGACAUGCAUUCAUAUAACAUUUCAUGCAUUCUUAUAGUAUCAUUUUCAUGCAUUCACUUAGCAUAUUUCUUAUGCAUUUACCAUUCUUCAACUAGCUACCAUUAUAUGCAUCAAUAAUAAACAACGCUCCACUUCGACAUGGAAGUGAGCUAAUAUCUUCGGUGAGCACAACCCACCUCGUAACGCUCUCCGAUUGCUUGUAGUCACUUGCAAUCGGCCUCCCGUAGCACCCGCCGCCCGGUUCGGCCCGAUCUCACGCUCAACCACCGAACGACCUCCAAUCCACAAUCCAAAAAUUAAAGGUCUAUAACUUGAUGCCACGAUACUCCGGAUCCGUUCUCAUGAUUUUUGGACGUCGCCUUGGCCCUCCAGGCGGAAACGAAGCCGAAACGUCCGUUUCUUCAAUAUCUUCGCAUAGGCUCGACGAAUCGCCGAACCGACUUUGCCAACGCGUUUGUAUACCUAGCAAUUAGGUUUACAUGGGCUCAAUUGAGAUCAAACCUUCACAUUUUAUAAAACUCCAUUCGGAGCCCUAAUAUGCAAUUAACCUCUAAAUAAUCCAAAUUGAAUGGAGCAAUAUGCUAACAAUACUCUAGAGGUUACUAGAAUACCAAGUAUUAAGGAUUUAACCAAAUCCUAAAUACUUACCGAAAUUUGAAUGUCGAGACGAAAGCAUGCCGCUCAAACGGUCGCACGAGAACCCGAACCGACACCUCCUACGCGUUUCCAAGCUUCUUCUCCACCAACCCUCAAAUUUUUAAAAAGAGAUUUAGAGAGAUGAGAGAGAAAUCUAGAGAGAGAAAGGAGAGUUUCUCUCUCCCCACCAUGUGUGUGUGGGUGUGGUGUGUGUGUGCUGUGUGUUCGGGUGAAGGAGAAGAAGAAGACAAUUGCUUCUUUAUAAUUAACACCUUCAACACUAUUCACUUCAGUUUGUAGUUCAGGUACAGAUAUUUUUCGCCUGCCCUUCUGAAUGUCCGUUUGAGCUCAAACUUGACAGUCAGGCUCGGUUUUACUUAACUUAACGAAAGAAAUUUUAAUCUUUUAGUUUCGAUCACAUUUGGUCACCGAAAGCUCUACCGAACUGUAAUCUCUAGCAGGUAGCAGUUAGAUUUUAUUUUCCACCUUCCGGGUGUCGGAUUGAUAUGAAACUUUAAAUCUAGCCUCAUAAAAAUAAUUCCGACAAAUUCUCCAGUUUUCAUAAUUUUCUGACACUGUGCAUUUUCUGCUAAAAUAUCAGUCCCGUUUCGCAUAGAAAAUUCUAAAUCUUCUGUUUUUAUUCCGAUUUCAGCACAAGUCAUUUCUGACUUAUAUUUUACUUCUCUAAAUUCAAUAAAAAUAGUAUCUCACACUAUUUUUAUUUAUUUUUACUUUUAUACCAAAAUCUGGUAUGUUACAUUUUAUGGCCGACAUCUUCCACGUUAAUAUCCACCAUUUGAGGUCGUCCCUCAGCCCUAAUUUUUUCGACGUGAUCUCCAAUCCAUUGGAAUAGCUUUCCAUGCAGGGUAGACAAUACACACUCGUUUGCAUGGAUCCAGUCACGUCCGAGCAAUAGAUUGUAAUGGCUCUCUGCAUCCACUACAAAAAAAGUUGUCCGGAGGGUUUUAGAUUUGAUCGUGAGCUUGAUCAUAAGUACACCCCUUGCUUGUUGACCGUUUUCAGUGAAAUCGGUCGUAGUUGUGUCGGUAAGCUUGAGUUCGUCUUCACUCUUGCCUAGUUUCUUAAAGAAUGAUGUAGGCAUGACAUGAACCAUUGUCCCGUCAUCAAUCAUGACUCGGCCCACAGGCCAUCCUGGUAUUAAGGCCUUGAUAAAUAAAAGCCUGAUGAACCUGGUCUACAGGGCCAAUGGUGUCAUGCCCGGCCCCGACGGAAGCCUACCCGGCAUGUGCACAUACCGCCGUACGCAUAAGGCACCCUCGGUGCACACAAGGCAUCUACCAAAAAAUAAGCUAACCAAGAGAGUAGAUGAAAUAAUCCUAACAAGGUAAUCAGAGCAUGUGUACUAAACAAUAAAGUAAAGCGACAAGUUUACUGCAAUAAGUAUAAACCUUUCACAAAAUAUACAAUAAGAUCACAAACAAAAGUACAUCUCAUGAAAGAAGGUGGUCUCUAUACAAAAUGAUCUAAUACACCUUUCACUACAAAAAUAAAAGAAAGGUGUCUCGGGUCCACCUAGGCAACUCCCAAGAGGCUCUAGCUAGUCGCUAAUCUCUUGCCAAGAUCCCUAGUCUCUCUCGGGGUGGAAGGCUCGAAAACAAAAACAACAACCAAUAGGGGUGAGAACUAUUAAACAAUAGUUUUCAGUAGGUAAGCCACCGAGAGUAGUAAAAUACACCACUAGGUCAAUUGAGGCAAAAGUAAUAAAUAGUAUUAGUAUAAAACUGAAAUGUUAUAACUGAAAUAAAAGCGAUUCAAUUACUCUUACGCCUCUUAUGACUAAGACGGUCCACAAGUAUGGAGCUCUACUACUAUUGAAUGUGUGACCAAUAAAUAUGUCCAACUACUAUGUAUGCAUUAACCAGUUGUGAUGUAUAAUGUCAAGUUUAAUUAACUUUUACCUAAUCGUCGGGGACUUAUACAAGAUAACGUCUCGGCUUGUGCCGUGCCUAAUGGCUCCGUGCAUGGUAGUCAACAUUCCCCCUCUAGGAAUGAGCCUCACCCACGGCAUCCAAUUUCAGCGCCUAAUCCCGCAUGGGCGAGCAUGAUGGUGUGACGGCCAACUCCUGAGUGCCGGCUUGUGGGGAGCGACCCUCACAAGGUUGUACGAAUGAGCACAAAAGCAAACAAGCGUAAUCAAAUGCGUAGGAAUCUCACUCGUCAUGUCUAAAACAUGAAAUAUCAACUAAUGGCCUAGAGGUCGAGUACAAUGUCAUGAUAUCAUCUCUAGUCGUUCAUCUUCGUUAAGUAUAAUAUACUUAGCUCUACAACUUGUCAUUAACAUGCAAAGUAUCAUGUUUUUCUUUAACUGUAGCAAGUAUAAAAUGUUGCCAUUUAAGUUCUGUUGGCGGCCGAAAGUCCCGACCCUUGACUCGGUCAAGGAUUCUCCUCGGGAAGAGCGUCGGGAUGAUGAGCGGCCGUGGAUUGUGACCCUCGAAGUUUGCGCCCACGACGGAUCAAGCGAUUCGGCCGAUGAGGGAUCGAAUCAGCCGGGUUCGAAAACCUCCACAGUAAAUUCGCUUCGGCGGGAUAAGCCGAAUGAAGAGGGGAAGCCCAGAAUUCGACUGAGGGAUGAGCCGAAUGAGGAGACAACUCGAGAUCUGAUCGGCGAGAAGAGCCGAAAAUGACUUUCUAUUGAAUAGCCGUACAAGAACAGGGGAGUGAUGCCCGUAGGGCAGACAGACUCCAAGUAUGCUAAGUUAUGAGAGCUACUCCUAUGAAAAGCGGUAAAUGCAGGAAAGAAAGACGCAGGAAAAUAAAGGUGGUCUUUUGUGCGCAGGGACGAAGACCCUUUUUCAGGGUAUCGUAUGCCUAUUUAUCGAACCGCUUUUGCGUUAGUUAUUGCUCUUACACGAUCAGCCACUAUCUCCUAAUUCGUAGGACCACCUUCGGCCGAUCGGAACCUCUCGUAACUGCUUGCGGUUGCUAUAACUCCUCGGUCCAAUGCGGCUCGUAUGCAUCCGGUGUGCUCUAGGUCUACCGUUUUAGCCGUCUUACGAAUAUGGACCCGGCGUGCCAGCUGUUUGCGCCUAACUGGCUCAACAAUUGCCCCCUCGCCAGUUUUCGAGGCGAUGCUUCGGCAGCUGGCGUUACCUUUUUCAACUCAAACAAUUUUCUGUCGCCGAAAGCGAGCUUGAUCCGAGGCGUAUUUCUCGGUCUAAUCAAAUUCAAAUUCUCUGACGUAUUCUGCACCACGAUCUUCUGUACGGUUUAAUCUAAGCCGUUUAUUCUCUUCUUUACGGCCCUGAUCGCAUUCUCUACUUUUGUCUCAUGUGCGACAUUAAUUAAAUUAUCUUAAUUGUCGCUGUCUAUUCAUCAUUAUAGCCGACCUUGGGACUCGUAAUCGAUGCGACAGUUCGAUACGACGGCCUUUUCUUCUUCCCCAAGCUUUCCAUUCUUUUUGCUAUUCUAAUUCUUAUUUCUUUUCCUCGUCUCCUUCACUAAAACCUCUUCUUCGUCUCCUUCAUUCUUCUUUGCAUUUCGUAACCGACUCUCUCGGCUCUUCUCUUCUUUUGAACAAUAUCUUUGGUUCCUCCUCUUCCCUCUCAUCCAUCUCUUGACUAUACUAUACUCAAACCUUUCGUUGACUUAGAUCCAUCUAAAUUCAUAUUAGGUCCUUCUCUUAUAGAUGCACCAUCUCCUACUGACUCCCCUUUCUCUGAUGAGGGACUUCCUUUGAAAAGGAUUAUUCAUCUCCAUUCUUGGUACUCAUCAGCUUCAACAGGAAAGAGUCUCAGAACUUGGCCAAGCGUCUUCGAAGCAUAUUUGGCCUGGUUAGAUAGAGUAGAACCCGUUUUUAGCGCAUUCUGGCGGGAAAUCGGCAUUUAUGAAGCAAUUCAAUUAUCUCGGCACCCUCCUAUAGCCAAUAAUCUUCUUCUAGCCGCCGCUCUUUAUUUCUGGUCUCCUGUUUCUAAUAUUUUUCUUUCCAAAAAGAGGGCCUCUUACCCCCACUCUUUUUGAUGUAGUCGCCAUUGUUGGCUUACGCCCUCAUGGCGUUACCCUCUCUAUGGCCUACAAUCCUGACGGUGUGUCUGAUUUUGAGGCACACCUUGAUCUAAAUGACUUGGCUUAUUCUAAAUUUCUUCGAAAGUUUGCAGGUGAAUCCCCUGCCCCAGUCACCAAGAAGGAACACACAGCGUUCCUCCUAUACUCGUUAUGCCACAAUCUUUUCUGCACUCAUUCGCAGAAAAUUAACCGAGAUUUUGUUCCGAUCGCCGUUGGUUUAUCUAACGGCGAUAAAUUGGCUUUGGGGCCAUAUUUCCUUGCUUUCGUUUACAGGAAAAUUUUUGAUUCCAUUAAGUCACUACCUUUCGGUGAUGGCAUUGCCAUCAGCUUUGGGUGUGGCGUUUUUUGGUUUCUGCAAAUGUUUCUUCAAUUCUAUAUUCCUGCUCUAUGCCAAUCUCCUUUCAAUCCGAUUUCAGCUGCCCAAUUUGAUUCUUAUGGGCUAGCUCUCGGCUGUCCACAGCCGAUGACCUCUAAUCAAUCCUCUGAUUUUCUUACUUCAAAACUUUUUAUGAGCCAGCCUCUGAUUCAGCUAUUUCUUGGGCUCCAUUUGUUGAUCGUCUCACCAACCCCUCUUGGUUCCUGGCUCGGUUUGAAGCCAUUCAGGGCGAGCUAUCUUCUUCUCGCGCCGGUGAACAUUCAGAUGUAUGGUAUUCGUAUCUAGCCCCCGGGAUCUUCAUAUGGGGCUUAAAUCACGUUCAAAAUUAUUACCGAGUACUGAGGUUUAUUCUCCUCAGUAUGUAGCACGGCAAUUUGGGUUUGUUCAGCCGAUCCCAGCUCCUUCUAAAUUUUUUAUGGCCAACACAGCCGAUCAUCGUCCUCCCACUAAGAGUUUAUUUGAAGCUGACAAGCUUUCGGCUAUGGGGAAUCGUCUCAGACGCUUCUUCCAGCUAGCAAGCUUCCGUCCGAACUAUACAGGGGUAGCCCUUGCCGGCUAUGCUACCACGUGGGAUCAGUUUACUGACCGCUCCUUUGAUCUUUAUCUGCCUCGAGCAUUCCGCAAAACCAUCCAUCCACUUGGUCAGUCAUCUAAUAUUUGUUUAUAAUUUUCUUCUAAUACGGCUGUAAUUUAUUUUUUUAUUUUAUACACAGCCACUACUCCGAGAAAAAAUUCUCCAACCGAGAUUGAGUCUUCACAAGAAACUAUUUCUGAUGCUCCGCCUUCUUCCUCGGUAAAAUAUCAUUUCUCUACUCAUCUUAAUCAUAAUCUUUUUAUCCACUCAUCAUUUUUGUUUAUUUCUGCUUUCAGUCGAUUCCUGCUUCUCCAUCGGUCCCAGCUUCAGACAAAAGACCGAUUGAAGCUGUUCAAGUCACUCCCCCGCCGUCUUCCAAACGGCGUAAAUCAGUGGUUAAAAGAAAAUUUCAACAAGCCGAAAGUACCCCUUCGGCUGAUACCACUAGAGUCGAAGAUAUUCAUUCGGCUGACAUCCCAUCCGAAGAAACUAUUGCACCCUCUUUGGCUACCUCUCUCGGGCGAACUUCUGGAGAUAAAAGCACUAUACCUCCCCGCUCGACUCAGGGAGCUUCUUCCCCUACUUCCGAUGAUCCUCUAUCUGCAAUUCUUCAUUCGUUUUUUAUUUCAAGCCCUAGCUCCAACGAGGGGGAUGAUUCUUCAACUAUUAUCAUUUCAUCAGAUACCCAAAGCAAGUUCGAUGAAUGUCUUAAAAUAUAUAGCAUUGGUAUCCCUGGUUUAGCUCAGAAUCCAGAAUAAUUUGAUCGGCUAUACGCCCUUUUACUUGAUUUAGCCGAUCAAUCAGAUAUUACCCCCGGUAUUAAAUGUUUUGUAGCAACUUUAUCGCUUCAACUUUCAUCUUUUUUGGCUCGACAACGAUCUUUAGGCGCUGAACUUGUAGCUUUAGAUCAACAUUUUCAUAGUGUUGAUCAUUUUAAGAAAAAUAUUCCUGAUAUAGCAGCUCCACCUACUGAAGUACAUUAAGAGGAUAAGGAAUUGGCUGAUCAAGAAUCGGCUCUACAACAACGGAUUUCUACUCUUAAAGAAGAGUUAGCCGCAGCCGAAUCUACUCUCUCACAAACCUCUGAGCGCCGACUUCAAUUACAAAAUCAACUGAAGUUCGGAAGAGAAGAAGGGAUAAGACUUAAAGAAGAGCUGUCUCAUCUUUACAAAGUGCACCCUUAAUGAAGCGCCGAAGGAAAGCUGUUGAGACUGCCCAAGCCAAUCUUAUAGCCGAAUGGAACCAACUCAAAGACUUAUUAUCUUAAUUCGGCUUGUAAUAUUCUAACUUUGACUUUAAUUAUUUUUCCACAUGGAUGGGUAAUAUCUCUUUAAAUAUUUUCCGUUGAUUGGUUUUUCACUUUCUGACGCAUCUCUGUUCUGCAAACAAUAUGCAUUUCCUCUUGUGAUUCGACUAAUCUGAAAUGAUCCUUCCCAAUUUGGGGACCAUUUUUCAUACAUUCGGUCUUUUUGACCGAUUGGAAAAUUCAGCCGAAGUACUAAAUCACUGACGACGAAUGUUUUUAAUCGAACUUUCUUAUUAUAUGCACUACGUACUCGGCUUUGGUAUGCUUGCAUAUUGUCUAAAGCUAUCAACCGAGUAUCUAUUAUCUCCUCUGCUUUUGUCUUUCAUUAACUCACUAUAUUCAUCAACUGAAAGAUUUUUUUGUUUUUCUAUCCUUAAAGAAGGAACUGUUAUCUCGGCUGGGAUUACAGCCUCAUGGCCGUAAACUAGUUGGAAUGGUGUCAUCCCUGUUGCCGUUUUAACUGAAGUUCGGCAUGCCCAUAAUACUUCGGAAAGUUUUUCAUUCCAUUUCCUCAGGUACUUUCCGAUAUGUCGCUUCAUAAGGUUGAUAAGUAUCUUAUUUGCUGCUUCUACUUGUCCAUUUGCUUGGGCAAAAUAAGGCGAAGAAUGAAGCAACUUUAUCUUUCGAGACUCGAUGAACCGAACGAACUGUCCUCCUGUGAACAUUGUCCCUUGAUCGGUUGUGACUAUCUCGGGAAUUCCAAAGCGAUGAAUUAUAUGAUCUUCUACAAAAUCGAUAUUUUCUUUUUGAGUAACCAACCGAGUAGGUUUGGCUUCCACCCACUUAGUAAAAUAAUCGAUGGCUACUAUUAGAAAUUUGUGACCAGCCGAAGAAUUCAGCUGAAUUUCUCCAAUUAAAUCUAUGGCCCAACCUCGAAAAGGCCAUGGUUUAAUUAUUGCGUAUAUCUCAGAGGCAGGAACUCUCUGAAUCAGGCCAUGAAAUUGACAUUCUUGACAACCUUUAACAUAUUCUAUGCAAUCUUGAUGCAUAGUCGGCCAAUAAUAUCCUAGGUGCCGAAUUGUCCAUCUUAACUUUUUUCCUGCUAGAUGGGUUCCACAUAUUCCUUCAUGUGUUUCUCCCAUUACCAAUAGAGCUUCUUCAGGCCCCUAAGCAUUUUAAUAGAACUUCUUCGGCUGUUCUAUUAUAAAGUUGACCAUCCAACAAACAAUAGCCGAGAGCUCUUCUUCGAAUAUUAUAAUCGACCCUUAUACUAGGAUCCUCCAAAUAUUUGAUCAAUGAUUUUCUCCAAUCUUCUUUCACUUCUAUAGGAGCUAUAAUCGGUUCUCGUAUAUGAACCGAAGGUAGUAAUCUCCUCUGUAUUACUAUUAACUUUGACUUCGGCUCUCUGUAUCCUGAAGCCGAUUGGGCCAAUUCAUUUGCCUUUUCAUUUUCAUGUUUGCUCAAAUAUUCAAAUUCGGCUUCUCCGAAAUUGCAUAAUAAUUCUAUUGUCUUCCUCAAGUAAUUUUGCAAAUUCGGAUUCUCACAUCGGUAUUCCCCGUUAACCUGCUUGAUUACUAACUGUGAAUCACCGAUGACUUUGAUUGACUUUGCUUUCAAUUCUUGCAAUAUUUCAGGGCCGAUUAUUAAGGCCUCAUAUUGGGCUUGAUUGUUAGAACAGCCGAAAUCUAAUUCAAACGCAAAUUGACAAACAUGACCUUCAGGAGAUUGUAUCACUAUCCCUGCUCCUGCAGAUUCGGUUGUUUUUGAACCGUCAAAAUACAACACCCAAGGUUGACAGCCGAUCAAAUUUUGUUUCGGCUUCUCAAUCUCUACACAUGGGUGAUCGGCCAAAAAGUCAGCUAUAGCUUGACCUUUGACAAUUUUGGCAGGAACGUAAUUAAGGGAAAACUCGGAUAAAGCUAAUAUCCAUUUCCCAAUUCGUCCUCGCAACACUGGCUUAGAUAACAUAUAUUUUACCAAAUCGGUUUUGCAUAUUACCGAUACUUUAGCUGAUAAAAUAUAAUAUCUCAAUUUUGUGCAUGAGUAAUAUAAAGCCAAACAUAAUUUUUCCAUAGCCGAGUACCGUUUUUCUAUAUCUAACAGGCGUCGGCUUAAGUAAUAAAUGGCCUGUUCUUCCUUCUCUUCAUUUCUUGAGCCCGCAAACAUUCCAAAUUUUCGUCUGCAGCCGAUAUGUACAACUUCAUCGGCUAAUUUGGUUUCGGAGGUACCAGCACCGGAGGAUUUGAUAAAUAUCUUUUUAUACUUUCCAAUGCCUCUUACUGUUCUUUUGUCCAAACGAAUUCUUCUUUAUCUUUCAACCGAAGUAGCGGGGUAAAAACCCCAACCCUUCCGGCUAAAUUAGAUAUAAACUGCCGAAGAUAAUUAAUCUUUCCCAGCAAGCUUUGCACUUCUUUUUUGCUUUUAGGUGGCGGUAGUUUUAAUAUGGCUUUCGCUUUAUUUUGAUCAAUUUCGAUCCCUUUCUUAUGCACUAAAAAUCCUAAGAAGUUUCCUGCUGAAACUCCAAAAGCGCAUUUCAAAGGGUUCAUUUUCAAAUUAUAUUUUCUCAUUCUUUCAAAGGCGAGCCUUAAAUCAACCCAAUGUUCGGCUUGUGACUUGGAUUUGAUAACUAUAUCAUCGAUAUAUACUUCCAACAUUUUGCCGAUUAAGUCAUGAAAAAUAAAAUUCAUUGCUCUUUGAUAAGUAGCUCCGGCAUUCUUUAAGCCGAACGGCAUAACAACCCAUUCAAAGGUUCCAAUUGAACCGGGGCAUCUAAAAGCCGUUUUAGCCACAUCUUCCUCAGCAAUAUAAAUUUGAUUAUAACCAGUAUGUCCAUCCAUGAAGGACAAGAUUUCAUUACCAGCAGCCGAAUCUACUAACAUAUCGGCUAUUGGCAUUGGAUAUUCGUCUUUAGGUGUAGCUAAAUUCAAGUUCCUAAAAUCAAUACAAACUCUAAGUUUGUCAUUCCUUUUACGCACAGGAACUAUAUUAGACACCCAAUCAACAUAACGGGCCGCUCUAAUAAAUCCGGCCUUUAAGAGAUUUUCAAUUUCAUUCUUAAUUUGGAGUACAAUACUCGACUCAAACCUACGAGCUGGUUGUUUAAAAGGCUUGAACCCUUUUUUGAUGGGCAGCCGAUGCUCUACAAUCUCUCGGCUUAGACCUGGCAUUUCUUCAUAGCUCCAGGCGAAGCAGUCCUUGUACUCCUUCAACAGCUUCUUCAAUUCUUCCUGUUGCUGAGCCGACAGCUUGGAACUUAUAAACGUCAGCUUGUUGUCUUCGCAAGACCCCAGGUUUACUUCUAUCAACAAAUCCUGGGUCUCCAGCUUUUUUUCGCCGACUUUAAUAGGCUAUUCUUCCAGCUUCAUUCCUGCUGUUUGCCUAUUCAUUUGACCUUCCUCUUCGGCUUUAUGACACGAAUCUUUUAUAACUUCUUCGGCCUUAUUGGCCGAAUUGUCAAGUGUUAACACAUCGGCUAUAACAGUCGAAUUAUCCUCAUAGCCGAUCUUGUUGAUCGGCUCAUCCUGUCGAGGCUUAUGCCAAGCCUCUAUUCUUGACUUUUGGGACUCCAUUUUAACCAUUUAGGUGGCUCUUCAUUAGCCACCAUAGCAUUGAUAUCUUUGGAGAGAAUUAAUUGAAUCCCCUUCUCCGUUACUCUCACAAACGAAAUCUGAUCUGGAUCAGCAUCGUCCCAAUUGGUGUGGCCGAUGUCCUCUAUGUUGACAUCUAUCAUUUGAGGCCGCCCCUCGGCCCGGAUUUCUUCUACCUUGUCUCCUAUCCACCGGAACAAUUUCCCGUGGAGUGUGGAGGGUACGCACUCAUUCGAGUGUAUCCAAUCUCUUCCCAAUAGUAAGUUGUAGUGGCUAUCUGCAUCCACUACAAAAAACACAGUUUUUAAAGUUUUUGAGCCUACCGUGAGUUCGGUGGUGAGCACUCCUCGAGCUUGUUGACCGUUUUCUGUGAAAUUGGUCAUGAUUGAAUCGGUGGGCUUCAAUUCGUCUUCAUCUUUGCCCAACUUCUUGAAAAAGGAAGUAGGCAUCACAUUGACCAUAGCACCGCCGUCUACCAUAACUCGGCCUACCGGCCGGCCUUCUAUUAAAGCUUUUAUAAAGAGAGGCCUUAUGAACCUCGUCUACAUGGCCGAUGGUUUCUCAAAAACCACUGCAUCGGCCUGUCGAACAUCCUCUAGCUGCAAUUGGGCUACUGUAAGCCCAUUUUCUUCUUCUUCUCUGAAUUCCUCGUAUUCAACAAACUCUGCUUUGAAAGAUUGAGGCAGAGCGUACACCAUAUUGACCUCAGCCGGUGAUUCAUCAGCCGACUUUCCUUUGAUUCUCUGUUUCUUCUCUUCGACUCCUUGGCCGUUUCGGCUGAAGAGUCACUCUCCAUACGGACCUCCCUCUCUUUAGGAGGCCAUCUUUCCCUCUUGAUCAUCGUCUCGAGGGAAGCUAUUUUAUCUUCUAACUCCCUCCUGGUCAUUUUCUCUUCCGACUCAGCCUCGGUUGGCCAUUCCACUCUCGACUUCAACUGGAGGGCGGGCGUUGAGCCGCCUGCCUCAUGGUCAUUUCUCAUUGGACGAAAAGGGUGUGGCCGCUCAUCAGGGUGUCUCCAUACAUUGAGCCUCAUCCCUUUCGCCUCUUUAUAAUUUUGUCUUGCCUCGGCUUGCAUCCUCUGCUGCCGACGCUUCUGAGUUUUUGUUAACAUCGGCCCCUGCCAUCUGGCCGAUGGUUUAAUCUCAACUUCGUGCCAUUCAUCCACUGGCACGUUUGCCGGUACCUUUACUGUCCUCAGAUGAUUUUUCAAAAUUUCUCUCCUCUCCCAAGGUCUCGGCCAAGGCUGAAUGCCGAAUUCGUUGACUAGCCUCCGACCGAGGAAUUCUAUGUCUCCCUCGGUCAUUCCUUUGAAUUCCGAUUUUGGUCUCGGCCUGGCUUGCUGUUGCCAGUGUGGCCGAUAUCCAGGGAACCUUUGCUUGGAGCCGAAUGGUCUAUCCUGGUAGUCCCAUCGGCCAUGACGUUCUCCACGCCUAUUGUUGUAGUAAUCAUGCAGAAUCUUCUGCAUCAGCAUAUCUUUCUUGCGUUGAACCGAAUCUACUUCCGGUUCGGUGUCAUUAGAGGCUGCGUCUGAGCCUUCUUCUUCUUGGUCUUCGCCAUCAGGAAUGUCAUUCCAAUCCUCAGGGAACGCCAUCAGCUCAUUUCAUUCAUUCCCCCUUUUCUUGGCAUUCACGAUAGCUUCCCAAUCUUUUUUCGUCAUUUCGGCCUUGCAUCUGAUGCAAAGCCGAAGAUGCUUCUUGGCAUGGGCCGCGUUGUCAGCGGUCUUCUUUUCCAUAACCUCUUUUUCUUUAAUAUUCACCAUAUUGACCUGAAAUAAAAACGAACUUUUGUUAAUUUCUUUAUCUUCGUUUUCCUGGUCGGCUAAUAUGAGCCAACCCUCGUCUAUUUCUUCUUGAAUCUGCCUUUUCGCAGUCGCUUUUCCUUUCCCUUUCAUGUUCACGGCGUUGACCUGUGAUGGAAAAAGAUUCUUAUCAAUUUCCAUAUCUCUAUUUUCUUGGUCGGCAAAGAUCAACCGACCCUCAUUUAUUUCUUUUUGAAUUUGCCUCUUAAAGGCAAUACAUUCACUAGUUUUAUUUUAUGGCUCCAUGAAUGGUGCCAUUUGCAGUAUCUUCUGUGUUUCAGUUCUUCUACAGGAGGUAUAGUUUGACCUUCCUGUAGUUUGAUUCGUCCAUCCUUUAACAACCGAUCGAAAAUAAGAUCGGUCUUUGCUAUGUCAAAUGAAUAACUAAAUGCUGAUAUUUGUGCUUUCGCUUCUCUCGACUUCGCAGGUUUUAGCAAAGCACGUUUGUACGGUUGACUAUUCCUCACCAUCUCGGCAGCAGAGAUUUCGGCCUCAUCAGCCGAAUCUUCUGCCUCUUCAGAUGAAUUCGGCUCUUCAUGAGCCGAGGACUCUUCAAAGAAAGAAAUAUUUUUCUCUUUUCCUUUAUUCCAAUCUUUGUUUCGGCUCCAUCUAGGCCGAUCUUCAUUAUUCCCUUUUCGAAAUUGCUCGUAUUGAGCAACUCGAACUCCCAAAUCAAAAAGAUUUGGAAAGAACUUAUCUUCAAAAUGAUCUUUAAUCUUAAAAUGCAUGCCGUUGAAUGCCAUUUUGGCAAAUUUCGAUUCCGGCAUUCUUACGAAACAUCGGCUUCGAGCCGACUUGAAUCGGUUUAAAUAUUCAUCAACCGAUUCUCCUGUUUUUUGUCUGAAUUGAGCCAAAUCUGCAACCGACAACUCUGGCUUGGUUCUAUAGAAUUGCUCAUGAAAUUUACCCUCUAAUUCAUCCCAGUCUCGGACGGAAUUAGCAGGUAGAUUUGUAUACCAAGUGAAGGCUGUCUUGGUCAGUGAAGAUUUGAAUAACCUUAAUUUUAAAAAAGGAUCUGCCGCUGCUUCACGGCAUUGGGUUGUAAAUCGAGCGACAUGUUCGACCGUAUUUUCGGUCUCAUCACCGAAAAAUUUGUCAAAUUUCAGCAUCUUCCAAUUUGCCGGAUAUGGGUGUUCUACAUCUAUAUUUGCAGGAUAUGGUGAUCUAAAUACAGGCCGCAUUGCCGGCCUUGUGCCUACUCCGAAAGUGUUUCGGAUUGCCUCUUCUAUUUGUGCAUAUAUCUCAUUGUUAAUUCCUUGGAAAGGAACUUACGCUGGUACCAGGUUUGGUGGUUGCUGUGCACCGAGAUUUUGUGCUAAGGGAUUAAUCCCUUGUACAUUCAAAGCCUGCCCCCUAGCCCCUACAUUUUGAGGCUGGUGGGCUGUAACUGGAGGGGGUGGAGGUAACCCCCAAGCUACUUCCGGCUGCUGACCGGCGUCACCAACAACCGGUCUAUAAGCCACUUGAUACUGUGCCCCCUGGUAUUGGGGCUGACCAACUACCGGUGUUACUGGAUUCUGUAACACUGGCGUUAUCACAGGCGCUUGUAGGCCUGCUAUCGGCUGUUCAUUCCGAGCUAACAAUUGCCCUAUUCGGGCUAUGUUCUCGUUGGAGGCCGUGAUUGCGGCCAAAACGGCAUCCGGCUGUGCGGUACUUGUGUGACUAUUUUGGUCCAAAGUUUGUAGGACCCGAGUCAUUUGGCCAAGCGCUUGGGUCAAACUAGGCUCCUGUUGGCCAGAUUAACCACUGGUCUCACCCUCAACAGGUAAAACUACUUGGCGCUCUACAUUAUUCUCCGAAUUAUUUGGCUGUUCACUCUCAGAAUUUCUGGGAAUAGCCCUAUUACGGAGAUUCAUGGCAUUAUCAUCAGCCAUGCUUUAUAUAAAAUGCAGAUUUACCUCAAAAAAUGGGUCCCACCGGGCGUGCCAAAAAAUUAUUGGCGGCCGAAAGUCCCGACCCUUGACUCGGUCAAGGAUUCUCCUCGGGAAGAACGUCGGGAUGAUGAGCGGCCGAGGAUUGUGACCCUCGAAGUUUGCGCCCACGACAGAUCAAGCGAUUCGGCUGAUGAGGGAUCGAAUCAGCCGGGUUCGAAAACCUCCACAGUAAAUUUGCUUCGGCGGGAUGAGCCGAAUGAAGAGGGGAAGCCCAGAAUUCGACUGAGGGAUGAGCCGAAUGAGGAGACAACUCGAGAUCUGAUCGGCGAGAAGAGCCGAAAAUGACUUUCUAUUGAAUAGCCGUACAAGAACAGGGGAGAGAUGCCCGUAGGGCAAACAGACUCCAAGUAAAAGAACAAGGGAGUGAUGCCCGUAGGGCAGACAGACUCCAAGUAUGCUAAGUUACGAGAGCUACUCCUAUGAAAAGUGGUAAAUGCAGGAAAGAAAGACGCAGGAAAAUAAAUGUGGUCUUUUGUGCGCAGGGGUGAAGACCCUUUUUCAAGGUAUCGUAUGCCUAUUUAUAGAACCGCCUUUGCGUUAGUUAUUGCUCUUGCACGAUCAGCCACUAUCUCCGGAUUCGUAGGACCACCUUCGGCCGAUCGGAACCGCUCGUAACUGCUUGCGGUUGCUAUAACUCCUCGGUCCAGUGCGGCUCGUAUGCAUCCGGUGUACUCUAGGUCUACCGUUUUAGCCGUCUUACGGAUAUGGACCCGGCGUGCCAGCUGUUUGCGCCUAACUGGCUCAACAAGUUCAAACCCAAUAGUUCCACUAGUCAUGUAGUGUCUUAUAUGAUACUACUACUCAUCUUUAACAUGCAUAUAUAUUUAUAUAUACUUGGACAAGGGAAGGUUAAUAUUUUCAAUGCGAUUUCAUAUGUUUUGACAUGCAUGUUAUAGUCUCAAGCCCUCUACUACAUAGAGAAAGUACACUUUCAUAUAUAACACGCAUAUGCCAUAUAUCCAAAAAUUCUAUGAUGUCAAGAAUAGCAUAAAAAAUCAUCUAUUAAAUCCUAUAACAAGAUAAGAGACAUAAGGGGAGUUCUAGUCAAACCCACCAGAUAGUCUUCGAAAACUUGAUCGUUUUCCAAAUGAAGUUGUCCUUUAGACUUCUAGCACCCUAAGAAAAAUUUUCAAGGGGUUACAAGCUUCUAAAAAGCUUUCCACGAAUUUCGAAGCUUCUAAAAAGCUUCGAAAUUCACCAAAAAUCAAGUAGAAAAUAGGUGAAAAUUACUUUUGAUCAAGUAAAACUUGUCCAAGGUCCAAACCAAAGUAAUGGGGCUUCAAAUCCAACCUAAAAGAUUGUUCUACACCCAUCAAUUUAACCCCAAAAGCUCAAAAUAGAAAAUCCCCAAAAUAAACUCUAGUUUCUACCAAACUAGAUUUUCUACCAAAAGUUUUGCAAAACUCACAAUUGGAGAAAGCAAGAAGAUCACUAAUCUCAAACAAGCUCCAAACCAAGCUAUAAGAUACUAGGGUUGAAGUCCCAAGCCUCAAAUAAGCUUCUUCCUUCAAUUCCAAACUUUCUUUUAGGUCCUAGAUGCAUGCAUCCAUGGUGGAGAUGAAGAGAAGAAGGAAAAUCCAAGGAUUAGAGAGGUUUGGAGAAGAAAUCCCAAGACAAAAGGGGAAGAACUCACCUAUCUCUCCCUCUCUCAAGCCUCAGCCACAAUAGUGGAUGAGAGAGGUGAAGAGGUAUUAUACAUAAAUGUACAAUAUCCCUAGAGGCUCCUCAAAAACUCAGAAAUUGCAAACUGCAUGAAACAAUCUCUACAACAUUAAAUACCGGUAUAUGAAUUUUAGUAUCGGUACUCGGACAGUUUCGAUACUCGGGGUCUAAUUCCACGAAACACGUACAUUGGAAUCUCCCAUUUCUAUUGCGUUCUGGUACCCGCCCGAUACAGUACUAGUACUUGGCUCAGUACUGGUAUAUAGAGCCGAGUUCCGCAAAACUAGAGAACUGCCCAUUUCGGCACUAUUGAAUUUUGAUACCUCAAACCCAGUACUGAUACUCAACAAAAAAGCUACACUUUGAAAAUUUUGAUGUCAGGAUACGUUCUUGCACUCAAUAAGCUUCGAAAAUCGGUCGAUACCCUCGAGACAUCAAUCAAAACUUCUAGAAUAGCUCAAAAUGCUAUACUCACACUAGAACCUUGCAAUUUGCUCUAAAGUUCAGUGCACUAUAGAUGGCUUCUCGAAUACCACCACAUCGGUCGCUCUAGUUUUCUCAAGUUGAAGUUAAGCUACUGUGAGCUCCUCUCUAUAGUGGAUUGGUUCCUCCAACUCUAUAGACCCUGCUCUGAAUGAGCACCUCUCUAUAGUGGAUUGGUUCCUCCAACUCUAUAGACCCCGCUCUAAAUGAGCACGGAAAGACAUACACCAUGCUCACAUCUGCGAAGCUUUCUUUGGCUGAUUUUUUCUGUUUUUGUUUCUUUUCUUUUGACUCUCUUGCUGUUUCGGCCGAGGAAUCACUUUCUGGCCGAACCUCCUCUCUUUGGGAGGCCACCUGUCUCACUUGAUAAUAGUCUCCAAAGAGGUGAUUUUCUCCUCUAACGCUUUUCGUGUCACCUUCUUUACUGGUGCCAACCGCUCAAUUUUGGACUUUAACCAAGGCACGGGUGUUGAAGCACUCGCUUCAUGAUCAUUUUUCAUAGGCUGAAAAGACGGCUAUAAUUCAGGUCGUUUCCAUACAUUCGGCCUAAUCCCUUUUGCUUCUUUCCCAGUAAUGUCUCGCCUCGACUUGCAUCAUCUGUUGUCGACGCUUCUGAGUUUUUGUCAAUAUCAGCCCAUGCCAUUUGAUCGGUGCUCUUACUGUGUGCCAUUGAUCAACUAGUACAUUCGCUGGUACCUUGACAGUCCUGAGGUGCUCUCUCAAGAUUUCUCGUCUCUCCCAUAAUCUCGGCCAUGGUUGGAUACCGAGUUCGUUGACCAACCUUCGACCGAGAAAUUCUAUGUCACCCUCGGUCAUUUCUUCGAAUUCGGUCUUGGGUCUCGGCAUGGGCUGAUGAUGCUAGUUAGGCCGAUUUUUCGCGUACCUUUGCUAGAUGCCGAAGGAUUUCUCUAGGUAAUUCCUUCGGCUCAUCCUCUCUCUAGUUUGGUGAUGGUAAUAAUCAUCUAGGACCUUUUGAAUUAAAAGAUCCUUCCUAACUUCCUUGGACUCCACUUCCUCUUUAGAGUCAUUUGAAUCCUCCACCGAACAGUUGUCCGAAUCACCUUCUGCCUCAGGCAGAUCUUCUCAUUCUUCGGGGAACGCCAUGAACUCCUUCCAUUCCCCAUACAGUUUCUUCUCCUGAAUGAUUGCUUCCCAAUCACGUCGUAUCAUUUCGGCCUUGCAUCGUAUGCAUAGCCGAAGUGUCCUCUUUGUGCUGGCAAUGUCUUGCUCAACCUUCCCUUCAACCGGUGCCUUCUGUUUAAUAUCUACCAUGUUGACCCGAGAAGGAAAUGAAUUUGAUCAAUUUUCAUAUUAUUUUUGUUUUCUUGAUUGGUAAAGAUGACCCGACACUCAUUUAUCUCUUUUUGAAUUUGCCUUUUAAAGGCCGUGCAUUCAUUCGUUCUAUGGCUCCACGAAUAAUGCCAUUUACAAUAUUUUUUCUUUUUAAUUCCUCUCCAGAAGGUAUUGUUUGACCUUCCUAGAGUUUAAUUCUACUAUCUUUUAACAACCGAUCAAAAAUUAAAUUGGUUUUUGCUAUAUCAAAAGAAUAUGUAUACGAUGUAACACAUGCUUUAGCCUCGCUAGCCUUAGCUGGUUUUAACAAAGCACAUUUAUACAGUUUACGAUUUUCUACCAUCUCUGCCGCAUAUAUUUUGGCUUCAUCAGCCGAAUCUUCUAUCUCAUCGAAAGUGUUCAGCUCAUCUUAAGCUGAAGUUUCCUCAAUAAAAGAGAUAUUAUUCUCUUUUCCCUUAUUUCAAUCCUUGUUUCAGCUCCAUCUUGGCCGAUCAUCAUUAUUUUCUUUCGUGAAUUGCGCAUAUUGAGCAACUCAGACUCUCAAAUCAAACAAGUUCGAAAAAUACUUAUCUUCAAAGUGACCUUUAAUUUUGAAAUGUAGACGAUUAAAGCCAUCUUAGCAAAUUCCGACUCUAGCAUCCUAACAGAACAUCGACUCCUUGCCGUUUUGAAUCAGUUUAAAUAUUCUUCAACCGACUCACCCGACUUUUGCUGAUACUGAGCUAAAUCAGCAACUGAUAAUUCCAAUUUUGAUCAAUAAAACUGCUUAUGAAAUUUUUUUUCUAAUUCGUCCCAGUCUCGGACAGAAUUGGUAGGCAGACUAGUAUACCAAGUAAACACCGUUUUGAUUUCGACGUGUUAAACAAUCAAAGAUUCAAAAAUGGAUCUGCGGCGGCCUCCCUACAUUGGGUCGUGAAUCGCGCCACAUGUUCGACCAUAUUUUCAGUCUCAGCACUAGAGAGUUUAUCAAAUUUCAAAUUUUUUUAAUUUGCCGGAUAAGGAUGUUCUACAUCGAUGUUUGCAAGAUAAAGAGAUCGGAAUACAGGCCGCAUUGCCAGCCUAGCUCCUAUUCCAAAAGUAUUUUGGAUAGCUUCUUCAAUCCGAACGUAUAAUUAUUGUUCCCUAGUACGAGAAUAGGGGCUUGUACUUGGGCCGGAUUUGGCUCUGGCGGAAACCCAUAAUUUUGUACUACAAGACUCACACCCUACAUAACAAUGUUGGCUUGCCCCCCAGCCCUUAUCCCCAAGUUUUGGGGCUGAUACGCCGACUAAGGUGGAGAAGGUAAACCCCAAGCCACUUCGAGCUAUUGACCGGCAUUUGCGUUCGCCGGUCUAUAUGCAGCCUAAAAAGGUGUGGUUUGAGGCUACAUAAUCGCCGGAAUUUCUGGAUUUGGUAACACCGGCGUGACCACAAAUCCCUGUUGACCUGCCACUGGUUCUUCAUUGUGUGCCAGCAAUUGCCCAAUUCGAGCAAUAUUUUCAUUGGAGGUCGUUAUAGCUGCCAAUACUACGUCCAGCCGAGCAGUACUUCGAUGACUAUUUUGGUCUAAAACUUGCAAGACCCAAGUUAUCUGUCCAAAUGUUUGCAUUAAAUUCGGCUCUUGAUGAGUCGAUUGUCUACUAGUUUCAUUCCCGACCGGCAAUACAGCAUGAUGCUCAUUUGCAUUCUCGCUACUGCUUGCCUAGUCAUUCCCUGAAGAUUGAGAAACAAAACGGUUGUGGAGAUUCAUGAUGUUAUCGUCGGCCAUAAUAUAUAAUAAAUGGAAUAUUAUCUAAAUUGGGUGCCACCGGACGUGCCAAAAAUUAUUGCUAAUCGAUUUCUUUGACUGCUGACUCAAUCAAAACCCUCCUUCGGGAAGCGUGCUAGGAGGUAGAACAACUACUAUUGAUGACCCUCAAAGUUUGCGCCCACUGUCGAAUCAAGCAAUUCAAUUGAUGAGGGAUCAAAUCAACCUAGUUCAAUAUCCCACAAUAACUUCGGUUCGACUGGAUCAGCCGAGUCCAAAAACCACAGUAUUUUUCGAUUCGGCUGAAGAGCCAAAUGAUGCUUAUAUAUUGCUUAUAGUUGGAAAAUGUUUAUAGAAGAGGGUGCAUUGCUAUGGCUUACGAUCUCGAAGGAAAAUCUACUCUACAAACUACUCCUAGAAAAGACAAUAAAUGCAAGAAAAGUAAAACGAUUAUAGGUAGACUACUCAUAGAAAGCAAAAAAUGCAAGGGAAACAGAAACUGGUCUUCUUGUUUACAAGAAAAAAAGAUCUCUCUCUAUCAGACGUCUCUUAUCUAUUUAUAAUUCCGCCCAUUGUUAUUCAGUUAUUCCUAUGAUCGGCCACAUCCCUGAUUUUGUGGGCUACUACUAGCCGAUCUUAACCGCAUAAGCCUUAACUGCUUUUCGAUUUUCGAUGCGUUCUUCUCUACUCCUGACGCACCAUAUGUCGCUUAUCCCUGACCUCAAGGGCCAUGCUUUAGGUGCAUUCUGGUUCACCACGUGGCGUGAUUUUUAUGGCGCCAACAGUUCCUCACCACCUUUUCUCUCCCUUUCUACUUCAAUGAUAAAAGAAAAACUACUCAAUAAAGAUGAAUAGGGAGGAAAAGUGAUGAAGGAAUUCUUGAUCUUUCAUCAUCUCCCUCCUAGCAUGACAACAUCACUUUCCUCUUCGUUCCUUAUCACAUUUUCUCUCUCUUUCAACUUCAAUGGUGAAAGAAAUUUUUUUUUACUUGGUAGAGAUGAAUAAGGUAGAAAAGCAAUAAAGGAAUUCUUCAUCCUUCAUGGAUUUGGGAAGCAUGCAUAAAGAGGACACCACCCAAUGGGACAAAUGUGAAGAAGGCCAGGGAGAAGAGCUGUGAAGGUGUUAAGAAAGGAGACGAAAACUUCAUAGAAAAUUCAUUGUGUUAUGGAGAAUCAAAUAAUAGUCUAAGCUGGUUCAAUUCAUUUGAUAUCGAUUUGGUCUAAAAUUUAAAAUACAAAAUCAUCUCCAACUAGCGAUCAUCACUAUAUAUGUUAUUUUAGUUUAUUAAAAAAAUUUUGUAUAAAAUAUUUGUCAAGCCAAACACUACAAUAAAAACGGUGUAUAGCGACACUUUUAAAUGUCGGUAUAAAUAAAAAAAUAAAUAUUACUGGCUAAAUUAUCGACACUUUUUAAAAAUAUUGCUAUACGUGGCGUCACUAUAGAUAGGGCCGCCUUGACAUUUGUCACCCACUCCUCUAACGACCUGUGACGGAAAGAUAUAUGGCAAUCGUAGCUCUCUACGGUCCCUGCGAGAUCCUCGCGGCUGAACUCCAACCACCGGAGCCCAACGUCGUCGGCUGCAGCGGCGGAGGGGAAUAAGGGGAGAUGGUGAUCAAUUUUUCUUUCUUUUUUCCUUUUUUAUUUGUAAUCGGGCCAAAUGAGCUGUGUGCGGUUGGUUGAGUAGAGAAAUUUUUGUUUUUGAUUGGAUUGAGCUUUAUAUUUAGGCCUCAGUAGAUUUUUUUAAAAAGUUUUGGUAUAAAUGGGACACUUAUAUAAAAGUAUCCCAAAAUUGUGUCUAUAUAACCUAAUUCUGUUGUAGUUAAAGCUACAAACGAAAAAUCAAAUUACGCACUAACUUGUUUGAGCUUCAUAUCAGCACAAAAUUUUACCGUAAGCUUCCUAAUAUUUUAUCUACUGAAUAAACUAAUUUUCGUUAGGUUCUGAGAUCAUUCAGCCAGCUAAUAAAUUUUUUUCAUUAUAAUAAUAUGAUUAACUAGUUAUAGGAGCAGAAUUUAGAUUAUUGUGGAAUUUAGGGUAAGUCCUUAGAAUAAUCAUGAUUAUCUCUUGAGGAAUAUUCAGAAUAUUCACAGAUCAAAAUAUCUAUAAAUUAUCAUGUUAUAUUUAGGCCCUGUUUGGAUGGUUACUUUUUUGGAGUAAAGUAUACCUAUGCUAUGGGUGUAGGAAAAAAAUCCUAAGAGGUGUUUGGAUGCUUCAAAAACACCCCAACAAAAUAGGGUAUAGUUAAACUACACCCCAAAAAACAGAAUAAAAGUAACCUCUAAAAUUUUCUCUGGAAAAAAAAUUAUGCUAUUUUUUUUGGGCCGCCUCCCCACUUGCCCGACUUUCUCUGGCGCUUCUCUCUCCCUCCCGUUGCCCUCUCCACGCUUCCUCCCAUCCUCUCUCUCACCUGAGCCACGUCUCUCUCACCUCAGCCGCCGCCGCCGUGGAUCUCGGCCACCACCGUUGCCAUCUCUCGGGCUGCCGCCGCCACUCUCCGCUGCCAUCUCGUGCGCUACUACCGCCGAAGUCACGAUCACCUCGGCUGCCGUCGUCGCCGCACUAACCUCGGCUACCAUUUUCUUGCCUCGAUCUUGUCUCGCCCUUCUCGCCCCUCGCCUUGCAAUGGCCGGAGAAGGCCAACCCCAUUUCCCUCCCCCAACAGGUAACAAAGAAAUGAUCUGAUUUUUUUUUUUUUUUCAAUAGGUUAGAUUUUGAUUGAUUCAUUAAUCUUCAUUAGGACUUUAUGUAAGAAUUGAUAUCUGUAACACAUGAACUCUAUCUUCUGCCUUUCAUGGUGGCAGGAUUUAGCCAUAGUAUGCCAACUGUUAAUUUGAGUUUGCAAUAAUUUCCUUUGUGACUCCAAAUGAGUUGGUUGAUGAUUAAAGCAGGCCAUUAGGACUUAGAUGAAGUGUUAAUUGUUUAUCCUUUUUGAUAGUUCCGACUACCCUGCAACUUGAUGAAUAAUGGCGAUACUCUGAGAAAACGAGGUUUUAUACUUAUAUGUAGGAUGGUCGUUCUGCUGUUUUCUCAGGAGGCAAAGCAAUAAUGCAUAGUUAAUUAUGUUAUGACUACGUCUAGUUUAUACUGGUUUCUGUUUGCCAUGGCUAAAAAAUCUGAUGAUGAAAUGUCAAGCAUGCCUAUGACUAGAGAGGCGCCAAGAUUUAUUCGCCAGUUUUAGUUAUAUUGUUGUAGAUAUUCCAAAUUGGAUGGAAGGAGAAUUUGUGAAAAUCUUGUUAGGUGAGUCCCUUUGAUGAACUUGUUGUAUGUUUUAAAUUUGGUUUGAACCGGCCGGCUGAUCUAAUUGGUCGAACCAUUACCAAGUGCUCAGGUCAGUCCUUGUUAACACAUGAAACUCUAGGAGUUCAAAAAACAGCAUCAAGCCAAAUGUCUUUAUUCUUUAUGCUUGAUCAUUUAUCAGCUGGUCAAAAAACAAUGGACACAUUCUUAGGAUGCUAAAAUGUGUGCUUGAAGUUUAUUUUUUUGCAUUUAUAAGCGAUUAUUGGGUUAAUUUUUGGUCAGGCUAUGUUAGAAUAAAGUCCAGAUUUGGGUUUAUUUUUGUCUUCAAUUUGUGUUCAAUGUAAGCUAGAUGGUCAAUUUGUUUAGGCCCGUAGAAGCUUCGGUUUGUGUUCAAUUUAUUCCUUUUGUAAUUAUUUUGUUCAUAUUUGUAUGUAUUCAAAUAUUGUCACACACUGUUUGUCAUGAUUAGAAUAGCCUUCUCGAACUAAUUUUGCAAAUUUUUCAAAUUUAUUCCUUUUGUAGCCUUUCCAACGGCUAAUUUUUCAAAUUUUAAUUUUUAAAUUUUAAAUUUUAAAAUUAUUUAAUAGUUAAUAAUUUAAAUUUUAAUUUUAAACUUUUAUUUUAAAUUUUUAGAUCUUAAAGUCACUUUAAUAGUUAAUAAUUUAAGUUUAAACUCUCAAGACUAAUUUUUGAAGAUUAUCAGAAAUUCUAUAAAAUUGUAUAAUGUGUAUCCAAAUAGCUUUUAAAAUAAACCCGUGGAAUUUUUUUGGAGUUACAGGAUACUCCAUUUCAUUUGGACAAAACUACGGUAUUUAAACUCUAUAGAAUUUAUUUACUGCUCAUCCAAACAGGGCCUUAGUUUUAGCGCCCGAGGUUAUUAUAAUCUAUAUCAUCAAAACAUAGUUUAUUAUAUAAGAGCUAGAAAUUACAAUCGCUUCUAUAACUUUUUUUAUAUAUGCUCAAAUGACUGGAAUUAAUGAUAACCUUUCGAAGCUUUAUAUACCUUUGUUUGGUUGAAAGUUUUGUUUAGAAGUAUUGAUAAUUUGCCAAUUUUUAAGACAUGCUAAUUUGAUUACAACUAAUUGUAUGUAUAUAUAGAAGCUUUUUCUUUCUAUGGUUGGAAUACAUGUUUAGAAGCUUUGGUCGUUCGUAAAGUUUUCUAAUGUCCUUAACUAUAUAUAUAUAUAUAUAUAUAUAUAUAUAUAUAUAUAUAUAUAUAUAUAUAUAUAUAUAUAUAUAUAUAUAUAUAUAUAUAUAUUUCAAGAUGCCCUCAACAAAUAGGAACUAUUUGUAUAAAUAGAAAUUUUAUAUUUAUAUGGCCGGAGUACAUGUUUAGAAGCUUUGAUAUUUGAAAAAGUUAUUCAAAUGUGCUCAAUAUGUAUGAAAUCUCUCUUUUUAAGGUGGAUAUACAUGUUUAGAAGAAUGAAAGUCGUAAACCUUUUGUCUGUUAUGUUUCUAGUUUUGGUAAUUUGCCGACUACUCAGACGUGCUAAACUAAUUACUUGAAGUUUAUUAUGUACACUUAUUUGUUAUUAAAUUUUGUUAGAAUGUGAUAUAAAUUAAUGAGGUGAUAAUAUAUGGCCAAUUUGUAUAAAAAAUCUAGUAGUUUUGAGAUUUUGCUAAAGCAAGCCACUAUUUUGGAUUUAGCAGAUUCGGUUUGGAUUUUCAGAAAACUGACCAGAAUAUCUUUAAUUAUUCCUUUCUCUUUUCUUUCUUUUUCUCUUGUUCUUCUAUUUUAUUCUCUCCAAAGAGAGGCGGAUCAGGUGGCCCACCUUGCCUCUGCCCGGCACGCAAUCCCCUGCGCCUGCACACACCCACCCUCUAAUGUUGUGCUUAAUUGUGCAAUUUACAUCCCAAAGAGUGCAACUUACGUCUAUAACAAUAUAACACUAUUCUAAAACAGUGCAACUUCAUCUCCAUCUUCCUUCUUCUCUAGUGCUUCUCUUUUAUCCCCUAAUUUUUGGCCUUUAGUUUUUUUUUUUUUUUUUUUNAACAAGUGCUUAGCUAGAGAUGCUCCCGUGCACUCCCCGGCCCUCCUUGCCUUCGACCCCGCCGAGGCUGCCCUCGCCACCACCCUUUGGGACACCGCCUCCGCUUCCGCCGCCCUUUUCUCCAGUAUCGUUGUGCGCUCCUUCGUCUCCACCUCGCUUUUCGCCGGUCCAGGGUGGGCGGUGGGCCAUGUGCCCCCUUCCUCACCGGCGAGCUUCUCGGCAUCGAGAAGUGCUUCCUCUUCGUCAUCGGCGGCAGUGGUGAGAACGGUUGGUUCCCGAAGUUGGUUUGAUGGGUGAAAAAUCUACUGCAGUAAAAGUAGAGGGCAAAUGGCGGAGAAAGAGGAUACGGUGUCAUCCUCGUUACCAUCGCGGAGGGCCACAGAUGCGGUGGAGGGUUGGAGAGAAAAAGAAAAGAAGAUCAAGGCGCGGUCUCGACGGGGUUGGAGAUGAGGAGGGUGGGGGGUGCGCGGGCACGGGAAAGAGGCGAGGCGGGCCACCUCCGCUUUCGCCGCUCUCUUUGGAGAGAGAGAGAGAGAGAGAGAGAGAGAAAGAAAGAAAUAAUGAUAUUUUGAUCAAUUUUCUGAAAAUCUUGACCGAAUCUGCAAAAUCCAAAAUUGUAGCCUACUUUUGCAAAAUUUCAAAACUAAUAGAUUUUUUAUGCAAAUUGGCCAUAAUAUAUUGAUAAUAUUAUAUAUUAGUUAAUAUUUAUGUAUUAAUUAAUAUUUAUAUAUUAAUUAUCAAUUAAUUUAUAUAUUCAUAUUAGCUCAAGGUUGAAUAGAGGGGUUUUUAUUUUAGAAUUGUAAUCACCUAUUUUUCCGACUUGUCCCGUUUAUUCAUCAAAAUAGGUAUUCUUGGCAUUUUAGAAUUCCAACUACCUAUUUUUUCAACUUUUCCAGUUUAUUUAGCAAAACGCUAUUUUGCUCAUCCUGAGAAUAACAUAGUUCUCAAUUAAAUGCAAACUUGAUCUUAUUCUUACUUAUUCUAAAAAUUAUACAUACGUUUCAGAAAUAAGCAGCCGAACAAGGUGACACCUAAAUGGCAGCAAAUUUUUGAGUGCAACCCAAAAAGGUUUAUAUGGGAAAUGGACCUGAGGGUCACUCAUGUGAAUAAAAAGUUAUAAAACAUAAAUCAGUUUAACCGUAGUAAGUUGCCACUCCAUUUGGUUAGGGGAUUAAGUGGGGAUAACAAAAGUUAUCCCCACUAUUCCACCAAACUGAGUAUUUUUUUACCAGAAUAUUUUACUUCGAUUAAAUUUUGUUAUUCCUCCCGGUUUGAUUUCAAAUUUUCUUAAAAUUAUAAAUUGAAUUAAAAGUAAAUUAUGCAGACUUAAUAUAUUAUAUAUUAUAAAAAUUAUUUUUCUAAUUGUACUAUAUUAAUACAUAAUAUUUAUACUUAAACAUUAUACUAAAUUAUAUAUAAAUAUUACAAUAUAUUAUUUUUAUUAAAUGUAAGCUUAAGUAGACUUUGAAAAUAUAUAUAUAUAUAUAUAAUUAUAUAUUUUUAUUAAAUAUUAUAAUAAAUUAUUUUUUUAAUAAAUUAUUUUUUACAAAUUAUUUUUAUUAAAUUAUAUUUUUUUUAUCAUAUUCAGCUAUCAUAUUUUUGACUAUCCUCUACUAUUUCAUAAAAUUAAACAAAUAUAAUUUCAGUUAUUCCUGCUAUUUUUUAUUAAUUGUACAGUUUGUACUAUAUUGAUAUAGUGUUCCAGAGGUUUGGAUAGGAUUGGCUACAGUAUUAGUGACUGGUCGACAAGUCUGGAGAGUGUCGGACUGAGUCGGAGUCGUUUCUGCACGAAGAGUCGUUUCUGCACGAAAUGGAUGCGGAAAUGGACUUGGCGCACUCAAAUAAGCAAAACUGGAGUUUUGCCAGAUUCGGGCGCCCAGAACUGGCCUUGGGUCGCCCAGAAGUUGAGUGCAGAAUUGAAUUGAACUGGAAGCCAAUUUGGGUCCAUGUUUCGGGAGCCCGGAUGUGGGUCCGAAAAUCCACUUUGGAAGUAUCGAUCGUGCUGACGCGUGGCUGGUGGUAGGUGAGGUCCGCCGGAGCCGGAUAUGGGCACAGCAUACCGCGGGCGGAGAGUCCGAUGAGGGAGCUUUUUGUAGCCUAGAUGAUUCGGGCGCCCAUAAUGUGGGUUCGGGCGCCCGAAAAAGCCCGUGUCUGCAGGGACACCAGAUUGCAGCAGCUGUUCUUGGGGCUUAUUCUACCAUUCCAGCACCCUAUAAAUAGGUGGAGAGUGACCCUGAUGAGCUCUUUUCACUCUCUCUUCACAGUAGCACCUCUGAUUUCUCCUCCACCCCUCGAUUUUUCUCAAAUUGUAUCCAAUCUUUCAAUUGGAAGGUGGUGGAGUGCUGAUUCUGUAGUUUUCUAGCGACGACCUUCGGUGUUUUGGCUCGUGUGCGACGUAGGAAGGUCGGAUUGCGGUGAAACUUGGUUUGCUGGAUUCUAGACUUCCAGAGAAGUUCAGAAUUGCAUAUUUUGGUUGAGGUUAGCUUGGUCGAUUUCAUAUUUUUCUAGACUAUUGGUGACAUUGAGCUGAAAAUCUGAUUUUUGGAUUUUUCUUGGUGCUAUCUUUGGAGGCAGGGUGUUUUUGGACCUGAGACACAUACUCCAUCCUACUCUACUAGAUUUGAGAUCUUCCAUACCAGAUUUGGAUGUGAUUAGGUAAGUUUGGACAUUGGAGUUGGGUUAAUUUAGCUUAAGUGCUGAAAAUUUGUGUUGAUUGUGACAUUUUGAUGGAUUUUGGUGGAUUUGGAAGUUCAGAUCUGAAUUGUGGACCCUUGCUGGCUGAGAGGGAGUUCGGCUGAGUUUCCAGUAUCUCCGAGAUCUUCUUGCUGCCAGGAAUUAGCUUUUGAGGUGGGUGUUUUAUCGGUUUCGCUCUUAAGUACUUGUGUAGUCGACAUGAAUGAUUUCGGUUCUUUUAUAUCAUAUUGUAGCUCAAAUUCAUUGAUUGUAGUAUGUAUGAAAUCUGAAUUGGGAGCAUGAUUAUUAAUUAGAUGAAUAUACACGUUGGGCUUGGAACUUGACUUAGGAGAAAACCAGCGAUUCGACCUGUCAUAUGAUUCUACUACCUAAUUUAGCUCUAGGAGCCGUGGUUUGAUUGUAUCACUACUGUUUCAGCACGGUGGAUACCUGGGGUAGUUUAGAAUGCAUUUACGCUUGUGCUGGGAUGCCAAGCUUAUUUUUACAGUAGAGUCUAGGCUGUUUCAGGUUGUCGGGUGCCAUUGGGGUGGACGGUGGACCCAGAUUUCUGUUUUUGGUCUCAGAUUGUGCCGAGGGCACGUGGGUUUGGUUUCUAGACCUGUUUUGACCCUAGCUACUUGACUUUGGCUUGUUAGAGCCUAAUUGAGCUCCACAGAUAUACGCUGCAUACUCAGUUGGGUAGCUCCCACGAGUGCCACUCCGGAGACGGGCGCUGUGCUUUUGCGUUGGUGUCGUUCAUGCAGGUUGGACUUGCUCUCCACUAACUGGUUAGUGUGGAGGUAGCUGUAUAGUCGCAACCGGGCGGGACGGGUGUGUUCACAGUCCCAGGAACAGGUAUGAUUACAGUCCUUAUUUGAGAUUGGGUCUGAGUUGACAUUAUUCUACAGAGGGUUAGAGUUAAAGCAUGAUAGUAUAGUGGUAUUUAGCUGUAGAUUUAUUCCAGCUUUCUUUACUAUUCCUGCUUAUCCCUGUAAACUUAGUGGGUGGACCGAUGAGUUUGAAGGCGGUAUCCACUGAGGACUAUUUCUUUUUGUAGUACUUCUCACGCCCAGUUGUUACCACUGUUUUGCAGAGCCGUCGCCUUCGGCUGCUGCUGUUGCUUAUCUUGAUCGUGGCAAGGGCGUCGCGAGUUAGAGCCCUUCCAGUCAAGUCGCAGAGCCAGAGGAGCACCAGCUACAGGUAGUUGUAAUUUUUGGGUCUUUACAUACAGUUGUUGUUAUCUCGCCAGAGCGAGUAUUUGUGUACCUGGAUCACAUGUAUGUAUUAAACCACAGUUUUUAUAUAUGGUUUAUUUUCUUAGCUGCUCUGUACUACUGUUUGUAGUAUUGUAUGAUUACAGGUACUUCUACUUUUCGCUUCGUAUAUAGGAAAAAUACCUAUGUAUACGGCGGGUCUGUUAGCGAGCCUGGGGAAAUGAGUAAUCCGGGGUGUGACAGAUUAAGUUGGUAUCAUAGCUUUGCAUUAGGUCGUUGGGAUCUAGGAAACCUAAGUUGUCCAAUCUUAGGAAAGUAAGACGCGAGAGGUGUGAUUUAUCGCGAAAGUCACUGAUUGAAGCGGAGGGAGUGAUUGAAAGAGUUUCUGUUUCGGUCCAGAAAAAUUAUGUUUGCUGCAGACGACAUAAUUUUGAAGAGAAACAGGGGCCGCCUUCUAGACUUUCGUUGAUUGGGUCGAGAGUGUUUGUUUGAUCUGACUCCGUUCUGUUUCUUGCAGCUAUGUAUCGUCACCGAGGUCGACCGUCUACGCGGGAUCGUGCACAGUUGACUCAGGAUCGUGCCGUACCUCCUGAGAUGUUGGAGCAGGCAGAGGCGAGUGCACCCCCUGUUGUGGAGUAGACGGCCCGACCGAAGAUGGGUGUACCUCCCGACUUGAGUGCACAGUUGGCUGCCCUGAUGGAGGUGACGAGGCGACAGAGGGAGUUGUUGGAGAGGAUGUGUGAGAGGUUAGCUCCGCCCCCGAGUUCAGCACCAAGAGCACCAGAGUCAUCAGCUCCACCCCCGACUACUCCGGCGGCAGCACCAGCUGCAGUUGUACCCCCGCCAGUGGAGAUUCCUGUGGCACCCGUUGUGCCUGCUAGGGGGCCAGUACAGAUGACAGAGGCCGAGCAGGAGCGGUUGACAGAGAGGCUUGCUCGAUUUCGCCGUUUUGAUCCGCCGAUCUUCGAUGGUAGUUGCACUGAGGCCUAGGUUGCUGAGGGCUGGAUUAGUACGAUGGAGAACCUAUUUGAGGAUCUAUUUGCCUCAGAGAGAGAGCAGAUACAUCUGGGAGUCCACUGUUUGUCAGGCGAUGCUCACGCCUAGUGGAGGAAGAUGAGGCGAGACUAUGGGCUAGUAGCGCUGCAGAUGAAGUGGGACGAGUUCUGUGGAAUGCUGUUCGGGAUGUAUUUUUCCAACAGUGUGAAACAAAAACUCGAGGAGGAUCUGAAGAGGAUUCAGCAGGGCGAGCGGACAGUUUAGGAGUACAUUCGGGAGUUUACGCGACUCCUGAACUUUGUGCUGUUCGUGGCUAGGGAUGAGGCGCACCGAGUUUAUCUCUUUGAGCAGGGUUUGAGACCCGAGAUUUUUCGGUUGGUUCAUGCGCACAGGUUGUAGACCUUGGAUGCGUCGAUGGAGCAGGCUCUUUGGGUAGAAAGGGGUGAUGCCUCCAUUCGGGAGAGGACUCAGGCCGUGGGGCAGAGUCAGGACAUGAAGCACCUCUUUCCAGAUGACGGAGGACCGUUGAGCAGCAGACGUCCGCCGAGGCCUCCACGAUCACGCUCUCAAGGUCGUGGGUCUUCGAGGAGUCAGCGUUCUAGGGGAUUCCGUCAGCAUGGACAGACUCAGAGGACACCGCAGUGUGUGAUCUGCGGGGGACCACACUGGCCUCGGCAAUGCGAGCAGAGAGAGGGCAGGUGUUACAGUUGCGGUCAGCCCGGGUAUAUGAGGUCAGCUUGUCCUCGUGCAGCAUCACCAGCACCAUCCACUGCAUCAGCGCAGCCAGCAUCCCAGCAGUCCUAUGGAGCAGCACCGAGUUUCCAUCAGGAGAACAGAUCGUCUGUACCGCGUCAAGCUGAGCGGUGACAGCAGGCUCCGAGUGGCAGGGUCUAUGCGGCCCAGGUGGAGGACUCUACAGUAGCCAACCGAGUGGUGGCAGGUAUUAUUUUGAUUUCUGGCAUUAGAGCUCGUACACUUUUUGAUACCAGUGCAUCGCAUUUCUUUGUUAGCCGAGCAUUUGUAUUGUUGCAUGGUCUAGAGUUAGGGCCAUUGUCACAGGCACGAGAGGUGCAGAUUCCCGACCAUGUUUUACAGGUUGCAGAGUGUUGUUGGUCAUGUCCGGUGCAGUUAGAUUCUUGGAUCAUGCCCGCAGACCUGUUUGUGUUAGGGCAGCUGCAGGAUUUUGACAUGGUGCUCAGUAUGGAUUGGCUUGCGCGGUACUAUGCUACUAUCGACUGUUGAGCGAGGACUGUGACGUUCCGCGAGCCAGGCCAGGAGGAGUUCACUUUCAGAGGCUGCAGGAGUAUUUCGUUUGCCACUUGGAUAUCUUCGGCGAGGGCUCGACAGCUAAUGAGUAGAGGAUGCGUUGCUUUUCUGGCGACUGUUAUAGAGGUGCCUACGGCGGCGCCGGGACUCGAGGAUAUUCCUAUAGUCCGCGAGUUUCCGGAUGUGUUUCCCCCUGAGUUGACUACGAUGCCGCCAGAGAGGGAGAUAGAGUUUGUGAUUGAUGUAGUUCCUGGAACUGCACCAAUCUCGAAGGUACCUUACCGGAUGGCACCGGCCGAGCUGAGAGAGCUAAAGGCGCAGCUUCAAGAUUUGAUGGAUAAGGGAUAUGUGAGACCCAGUGUGUCGCCUUGGGGAGCGCCGGUAAUGUUUGUGAAGAAGAAUGAUGGUUCGCUCAGGUUGUGCAUAGAUUAUCGGGAGCUGAAUAAAGUGACCAUCAAGAACAAGUAUCCUUUGCCACGCAUUGAUGAUCUGUUUGAUCAGCUGCAAGGAUCUUGUGUCUUCUCGAAGAUUGAUCUCCAGUCUGGUUACCAUCAGUUGAGGGUGAGGGCCAAGGAUGUUCCCAAGACGGCUUUUCAGACUUGGUACGGACAUUAUGAGUUUACGGUGAUGCCUUUUGGAUUGACGAAUGCCCCUACCGCAUUCAUGGAUUUGAUGAACAAAGUGUUCAAGCCGUUGUUGGAUAGGUUUGUGGUAGUCUUCAUUAAUGAUAUUCUGAUAUACUCCCGGAACGAUGCCGAGCAUGAGGAGCACUUGAGGACUGUGCUACAGCUUCUGCGAGAGAAGAAGUUGUAUGCCAAGUUAAAGAAGUGCGAGUUCUGGUUUCGGGAGGUUGCUUUCUUAGGCCACGUGAUAUCUGCGGUUGGAGUGGCAGUGGACCCGAAGAAGAUUGAUGCUAUUCGGGAUUGGCCCAGACCGACGACGGUAACAGAGGUGAGGAGUUUCCUUGGACUUGCUGGUUAUUACUGUCGGUUUGUGGAAGGCUUUGCGAAGCUUUCCACACCACUCACUCGAGAGAAGAAGUUGUGGACUUGCUAGUUCUUACCGUCGGUUUGUGGAGGACUGUGCUACAGCUUCUGCGAGAGAAGAAGUUGUAUGCCAAGUUAAAGAAGUGCAAGUUCUGGUUGUGGGAGGUUGCUUUCUUGGGCCACGUGAUAUCAGCGGUUGGAGUGGCAGUGGACCCGAAGAAGAUUGAUGCUAUUCGGGAUUGGCCCAGACCGACGACGGUAACAGAGGUGAGGAGUUUCCUUGGACUUGCUGGUUAUUACUGUCGGUUUGUGGAAGGCUUUGCGAAGCUUUCCACACCACUCACUCGAGAGAAGAAGUUGUGGACUUGCUAGUUCUUACCGUCGGUUUGUGGAGGACUGUGCUACAGCUUCUGCGAGAGAAGAAGUUGUAUGCCAAGUUAAAGAAGUGCAAGUUCUGGUUGUGGGAGGUUGCUUUCUUGGGCCACGUGAUAUCAGCGGUUGGAGUGGCAGUGGACCCGAAGAAGAUUGAUGCUAUUCGGGAUUGGCCCAGACCGACGACGGUAACAGAGGUGAGGAGUUUCCUUGGACUUGCUCGUUAUUACCGUCGGUUUGUGGAAGGCUUUACGAAGCUUUCCACACCACUUACUCGACUGACUCGUAAAGGAAUUAAGUUCAUCUAGAGUGAGGACUGUCAGAGGAGCUUGGAUGAGUUGAGACAGAGGUUGACAUCGGCUCCUAUCCUUGCCCUUCCAGUGAUGGGGGAAGGAUUUGUGAUUUACAGUGAUGCAUCACACAGUGGUUUGGGCUAUGUGUUGAUGCAGCAUGGUAGGGUAAUUGCUUAUGCUUCACGGCAGUUAAAGAAUUAUGAGAAGAAUUACCCUACGCAUGACUUGGAGCUUGCCGCGGUAGUCUUUGCUUUGAAGUUGUGGCGACACUACUUGUAUGGCGAGCACUGCGAGGUUUUCACCGAUCAUAAAAGUCUCAAGUAUCUGUUCAUCCAGAGGGAGCUGAACUGAGGCAGUACCGGUGGUUGGAGUUACUGAAGGACUAUGAUAUUAGUAUUUGUUGAAACAUAAAAAAAAAAAGAGAGAGGAAUAAAAGAGGAAAAAGAAAGAAAAAAAAAAGGGGGAGAGAAAGAAAUAAAAAAUAGAGAUGGUUUAUGAGAUUAUCCAUGCACCAGGUGCAUGGAUAAAAUUUAAAUUUUGAAAAUAUCUCAUGCACCGGGAGCAUAAAUUACGAAAAGUAGGACGUUCUCGUAGAUACGAACGGGUAUUAAAAAUAGCGUAUUAGCCCUUUCCCUUUCACGUAUUUACAAAAUGCUCCGCUUUAAUCAUAUAAUAUUUUAUUAUAUUGACUAAGGUGUAAUAUGAGCAAAGGGAAAGGACCAAUUCGCAAUAUUCUCACAAUCCCAUCGCAACCAUCCAUUAUCUCAUAAUCCCAUCAUAACCAUCCAAAAUCUCUCCCACAAUCCCACGAUACUAUCGUAACAACCUAUACCCACGAUCCCAUCAUCCCACGAUCCUCAACCAUCCACGAUCCCAUAACCUCCGCACCCAUACGCACGUUUUCCUCAAAUCCUGUUAUAACCACCUCAAUCCCACAAUCAUACGCACGUUUCCCUCAAAUCCGUUGCAACCACCCCAUAAAUACCUCUCGAAAACAAUCAAACAGGGAGAGUUUUUGAAUUUUAAAACCUAUUCCUAAACAAAAAAAAACCCAAUCCCGUUCCUGUGUCUACGAAAGAGAAGAGAAAGGUAAAAAAAAAAUAUUUUUUUUCUUCUCCAAUCAAAGCUCUCUCUCUCUCCUAAAAAGAAAAAUAAAAAAAAAAAGAGAAAGAAAAGAAGAAAAAGAUCUCAGAUCUCUUUCUCUUUCUCUCUCUCUCUCUCUCAAGCACCCACCAUGGCCAAAGCCGUAGUCGCCGUCGACGCCGACGUGGGGCUCCGGAACCUCGACCUCGAGCUCGAGAACUCCGUCAACUACACUACCAUCAAGGUCCUCGGCGGCGACUGCCGCCUCGACUAGGCGUUCCCAAGGCCGUUCGUCUCCUCGCCAACUUCAACUACCCAAGGCCGUCGCUCCUCGUCGACCCCUGCGUCCGAGGCCGCGUCGCUCCUCGGCCGUCCGCCCCUCGCCGACCUCUGCUCCGCCGAGACCGCCCACUCCGAGGCCGCCAUGCUCCUCAUGCUCGCCGACGCCGUCUACGGCGUCGUCACUUCCUGCAGCCCCGCCGUCGACCUGGUCCGCGUCGCUCCUCGGCCGUCCGCCCCUCGCCGACCUCUGCUCCGCCGAGAUCGCCCGCUCCGAGGCCGCCAUGCUCCUCAUGCUCGCCGACGCCGUCUACGGCGUCAUCACUUCCUGCAGCCCCGCCGUUGACCUGGUCCCCUGCGCCCGAGGCCGUCCGCCCCUCGCCGACCUCUGCUCCGCCGAGAUCGCACGCUCCGAGGCCACCGUGCUCCUCAUGCUCGCCGACACCGUCUACGGCGUCGUCACUUCCUGCAGCCUCGCCGUUGAUCUGGUCCGCUGCGCCCGAGGCCGCGUCUGCCUCCUCCAUCUCCUCCUCGGCUUCCCUGCACACGAGCCGUGACGCGCUCGAGCUCCUUGAGCUUUCCUGCGCCCGAGCUCCUCGCUUCUUCCGACCACAAAACCCCGUGCCAAACUCUGUACUUCCCGAUCCCCAACGAUGCGCCCGCGACGACGGACGACGGCGACGGCGACGACUACGCUGGCGAUGAGGAGGAGGACGAGGACCUGGGGAAGCUCCUAGAGCUGUUCCCGCGUCUCCGCCCUCCGGUCUGCGGCGUCGCGCAACCCGUGCGUGCUCCACCGAGCUCCGCUGCGUCUCAGCCGCGUCCCCACCUCACUUUCUUCCUCCGGCCUGCGGCGUCACGCGACCCGCGCGUGCUCCACCGAGCUCUGCCAAGUUCUUCCGAGCUCCGCCGCGUCUCCGCAGAGUCUCCAUAAGUUUCCUCUCCACACCGCACCCUCCACCUAUUCGAUGAAAUCUCCAAAAGAAACCAGAGGAAGCCCGAUCGAUUCGACGGCGGUCGGAACAGCCCUGAUGAGAUCUUGGCGGCAGUGACCUCAUCGGGCGCGGACACCAAGGUGUGGGUCGCGGAGGUGCCUCCCAUGCACUCUGCCGAUACCUUGACCGCCUCGUAGUGGGGCUCGACGCGGAGACCAUCAUCGCUGACAGCCGCGCCGCCACCCGUGGGUUCUCAUCAAUUGACGGGUGCUUGCUGUAGAUGCUGCGGAAUGGCGACGAGUUGAAGCCCGACAACCUCGCUCACCAAUUGUUCGAUGAAACGCUACUGCUCCGACGGAGUUGGCGCCAACGGAUCACGCCCACCAGUUACUUGACGAAAUGCCCAAGAUGUUUACUUUCGACGGCGAACCUGAUAUGUACAUAAAGAGAGAGAGCGGUGCUCUUCUCUUUAUAAAAAAUGCGUGUUAUUAAAAGAGAAAGAGCGGUGCUCUUCUCUUUAUAAAGAAUAUGGCAUCAUCAAAAGGGAAAGAGCGGUGCUCUUCUCUUUGUAAAAAUGUUAUCAAAAGAGAGAGAGAUGUUACUUCUCCAAUGAUAAAAAAGAAAGAGAGAGAGAGCUUUGUUACUGUAGGGAGGCAAGGAAGGGAUUUUUAUCCCGCCUUAGUUGUCCCACGAAUGUAAAAGAGAUAAAAAGGAAUUAUUCAUCUCUGUUAUACUAUAUUUUUAAAGAAGAUAAAGAGAAAAAAUGUAUUCUCUUAAUUCUUCUCCAAUGAAGAGAUGAAAGAAAAUUAGUCGAACCUUUCGAUUUGGUCGAAAUAGAUCGAAUCGAUAUUUAAUUCCACAGUAUGUGAUUUAUAGCUGAGAAUUUGACAAAUAAUAAAACGCGUUCGGAAUAUAUUUUUGAUGAAUUUGAUUUUGAGCUAUAUAUUUUGAUCUCAAAUCUCAUAUGGACCAAACCCAUAUUCAUUUCACAAGUUCACUUCAAACCCAAGUUAAACAUAACCCAAGUCCAAUACAAAUACGAAUCUGGGCCCAAUCCCAUGAUUUGAUUAAAAGAAAAACCAUACGGGCCCAUAUUAAGUCCGAGCCCAUAUGUAAUUCAAGUCUCAACUUGGACCCAUAUAUGAAUAAUGGAAUUUGGACCCAUCCAUGAAAAAGCUAUACCUAGCCCAAGUCCAGAUUUCCCAAUUUUUUGAGCCUAUAACACAAACCAUACGGGCCCAUAAUAAGUCCGAGCCCAUAUGUAAUUCAAGUCUCAACUUGGACCCAUAUAUGAAUUUGAAUUUGGACCAUCCAUGAAGCUAUACCUAGCCCAAGUCCAGAUUUCAAUUGAGCCUGUAACACAAACUAUACAGCCCAUACCCGAAUCCAUAUCCAAAAUGAUUUAGCCCAUACCCGAAUCCAUAUCCAAAAUGAAUUCAGCCAUAUUGAACCCGAAUCCAUAUCCAAAAUGAAACCAUACGGGCCUACAUUGAGCCCAAAUCCAUAUACAAAAUGAUUUGGUCCAUAUUGAAUCCGAAUCCAAAUUAAAAUGAAUUCAGCCCAUAUUAAGCCCAAGUCCAGAGCCAAAACGAAAUGAGCCCAUAUUAAGCCCAAAUCCAAAUCCCAUAUUGAGCCCAAAUCUCACCCAAUUAAUUCCAAUCAAGUCAUACAUGAAACCUAUAUGAAACUAGAGCCUAAUCUUGACAUAUGGAAACUCGGUCAAAUUCUAAAUAUUUGAUUAGAAUUGAUCAAACCAUCUAAUCAAAUCAAUUGAACUCUAAUACAUCUACUUAGAGUUCAUAUAAAUGAAAUUAAAUUAAACUCUAAUACAUACACUUAGAGUUUAAUUUUAACUAAUCCUAACUUAUAAAAUUAGGAUUUAAUUGAUGGUAAACCCAAAUUCAUCUCUUGAUUAGACUCUAAUACAUAUACUUAGAGUUUAAUUUCGACUAAUCCUAACACAUAUAAUUAGGAUUUGGUCCGCAUCUCGCUACAUGGUGCACAUAAAUUCAUCUUAUGGCGAACCCAAAUGAAAUUAAAUUGGACUCUAAUGUAUACGUUUAGAGUUUAAUUUAAAAUAUUUUGACUAAUCCUAACAUAUAUAAUUAGGAUUUAGUUCAUGUGAAACCAAAUUAGACUCUAAUACAUACACUUAGAGUUUAAUUUAAAUCAAAUUUUGACUAAUCCUAAUACAUAUAAUUAGGAUUUAGUUAAUAUUUGGCCUUAUGGUGAACUUAAUUAAGCUCGAACAUAUAAGCAUAGAGCUUAAUUAUACUAGACUUUAAGAUAGAAAAUUAGAGUCUAAUCCAAAAUAUUUGAGCUAAUCCUAACAUAUACAUCUAGGAUGAAAGCUUAAAUCAAAUCCAAUUGGACUUUAUCAUAUAUAUUUAAAGUUCGAUUAACUAAAUCAAACUCUAAUUCAUUUAAUUAGAGUUUAAUUUGAAUCAAAUCUGAUUAAGUCCCAAUGUAUAUACAUGGAAUUUAAUCAACCUUCCACCUUAGGGUGAACAAUAUUGUUAAGCACUGAAACAUAUGAAGCCCAAUCAAGUCAAUUUGAUUAUACACUUUGAUUCAGAAUCAAAUUCAAUCAACCGUCAUACUGAAUUAUGUUAUAAAAUCCAUCUUUUAUUCAAUCACAGCAUUACAAAUGUCUCUUAAUCGAAGGUGCCCUAACACUUUGUAGGGGUAAUUAACAAUGGACGCUUGCGUUUAUUAGAAGCCAUGAAUCCACAAUACCUGAUUCCCAUACAUAUUCAAAUAUUAAUCUGAAUCAUGAAUACUAUCCCACGGUGAAAAAUCAAAAUUAAAUUAACCGUGCGGGGUAUGUCAUUCGUGGUCGCAGACAGUAUUCAGUAUCAUCCCGGCAAGGCAAAUGUGGUGGCAGAUGCGUUGAGCAGGAGGACAGUGCAGAGCUUGAGCAUGUUGAUCACUCAGCAGAGGCCGUUACUCGAGGAGCUGCAGCAACUGAGGCUCGAGAUAGUGUCCCCUGGAUCUACUGCGAGACUGAUGUCUAUGGUCUUGCAGCCCACUUUGUUGGAUAGGAUCCGAGAGAAACAGAGUGGAGAUCCACACUUGUCGAGGAUUCGAGAGCAGUUUGAAAGGGGACAGACUGAGGGCUUUGUUGUGGACAGUUCAGGAGUACUGCGGUAUAGGGACCGACUGUGUGUACCUAUCGAUUUAGAGAUCCGAGAGGACAUUUUGAGAGAAGCUCACUGUUCACCUUAUACGGUUCACCCCGGUGGAACCAAGAUGUAUAAGAAUUUAAAGGCCCAGUUUUGGUGGAAUGGAAUGAAGAGGGACAUUGGUAGAUUUGUGGCUCAGUGUCUGACUUGUCAACAGGUAAAGGCCGAGCAUCAGGUAACUUCUAGCAAGCUUUAGAGUCUGCCAGUGCCUAAGUAGAAAUGGGAGCAGAUCACGAUGGACUUUGUCGUGGGGUUGCCUAGAGCUCAGGGUGGUUUCGAUGCUAUUUGGGUGAUAGUGGACAGACUGACUAAGUCUGCUCACUUCCUACCAGUUCAGACCAUCUGGUCGAGAGAGAGGCUCGCUCAGCUAUAUCUAGAUGAGAUAGUGAGGUUGCAUGGCGUGCCCACUACGAUAGUAUCAAAUCGAGACCCGAGGUUCGUCUCGCACUUUUGGAGGAGUCUUUAGACGGCCUUGGGCACUCAGUUGCAGUUCAGCACAGCAUUUCACCCACAGACAAAUGGUCAGUCAAAGCAGACCAUUCAGACUCUUGAGGACAUGCUGAGGGCAUGUGUCCUGGACUUUGGAGGAGGGUGGUAUCGACAUUUGAGACUGGCUAAGUUUGCAUACAACAACAGCUAUCAAGCGAGCAUCCAGCUGGCUCCGUUUGAGGCGUUGUAUGGAUGCAGGUGUCGAUCUCCUUUGUUUUGGAGUUAUAUGGGUGAGAGGAAAACGCUUGGGCCUGAGAUUCUGGUUGAGGCUGAGAAAAAGGUAAAAGUUGUGCGAUGACACAUUUUAGCAGCCCAGAGUCAGCAGAGGAACUAUGCUGAUACCCGGAGGCGAGACUUGGAGUUCCAUGUGGGAGAUCAUGUGUUUCUUAAAGUCUCGCCGUCCAGAGGGAUUCGCAGAUUUGGAGUACGUGGAAAGCUCAGUCCAUGUUUUGUAGGCCCUUUUGAGGUAUUGGAGCGAGUCGGGCCAGUUGCUUACAGGAUUGCUCUACCUUCACGACUAGCCGGCAUUCAUGAUGUAUUCCACGUCUCGGCGUUGCAGAGAUAUGUGUUCGACCGCUCCCACGUGAUUGAUUUUACUCCGCUAGAGAUUGGCGAGGACCUGAGAUACGAAGAGCGACCGGUGCGGAUUCUGGCUCGUGAGUCGAGAAAAUUGCGCAACCAGGUCAUACCCUUUGUGAAGGUACAGUGGAGUAAUCACGAGGAGCGUGCGGCGACUUGGGAGCCGGAGACGGUGAUGAGAGAGUCCUACCCCUACUUAUUUGAGGCCCAGGAUUGAGGUAUGUUUCAGUUUCGUGAUCGAAACUUUUUGUGAUGAGGGAGAAUGUAGUGUUUCAGAGGUUUGGAUAGGAUUGGCUACAGUAUUAGUGGUUGGUCGACACGUCUGGAGAGUGUCGGACUGAGUCGGAGUCGUUUUUGCACGAAAUGGAUGCAGAAAUGGACUUGGCGCACUCAAAUAAGCAAAACUGGAGUUUUGCCAGAUUCGGACGCCCAGAACUGGCCUUGGGUCACCCAGAAGUUCAGUGCAGAAUUGAACUGAACUCGAAGCCAAUUUGGGUCUAUGUUUCGGGCGCCCGGAUGUGGGUCCGAAAAUCCACUUUGGAAGUAUCGAUCGCGCUGACGCGUGGCUGGUGGUAGGUGAGGUCCGCCGGAGCCGGAUAUGGGCACAGCACACCACGAGCGGAGAGUCCGAUGAGGGAGCUUUGUGUAGCCUGGAUGAUUCGGGCGCCCAUAAUGUGGGUUCGGGCGCCCGGAAAUGCCCAUGUCUACAGAGACACCAGAUUGCAGCAGCUAUUCUUGGAGCUUAUUCUACCAUUCCAGGACCCUAUAAAUAGGUGGAGAGUGACCCUGAUGAGCUCUUUUCACUCUCUCUUCACAGUAGCAUCUCUGAUUUCUCCUCCACCCCUCGAUUUUCCUCAAAUUGCAUCCAAUCUUUCAGUUGGAAGGUGGUGGAGUGCUGAUUCUGUAGUUUUCCAGCGACGACCUUCGGUUUUUUGGCUCGUGUGCGACGUAGGAAGAUCGGAUUGCGGUGAAACUUGGUUUGCUGGAUUCUAGACUUCCAGAGGAAUUGCAGAUUUUGGUUGAGAGUAGCUUGGUCGAUUCCAUAUUUUUCUGGAUUGUUGGUGACUUUGAGCUGAAAAUCUGAUUUUUGGAUUUUUCUUGGUGCUAUCUUUGGAAGCAAGGUGUUUUUGGACCUGAGAUACAUACUCCAUCCUAUUCCACUGGAUUUGAGACCUUCCAUACUAGAUUUGGAUGUGAUUAGGUAAGUUUGGAUAUUGGAGUUGCGUUAAUUUAGCUUAAGUGCUGAAAAUUUGUGUUGAUUGUGACAUUUUGAUGGAUUUUAGUGGAUUUGGAAGUUCAGAUCUGAAUUGUGGACCCUUGCUGGCUGAGAGGGAGUUCGGCUGAGUUUCCAGCAUCUCCGAGAUUUUCUUGCUGU